AAUUAGUAUCAAUGAUUUAAAAACAAAUUGAACCGAUUGAUUCGACUUAUCAAACUUUAAACUAUGCUAUCAAAGAUCUGAUUUCAACCUAUUAAACUGAAUUAGAUUAAGAACAAUCUGAAACCGUUAAAGAUAAUAAAUAUUUUAAACAUAAUGAUAUUUUAACUGUUAGAGCUAAUAAAUAUUUUAAACAUAAUUUUAAACAAAAAAAUUAAAAAGAUUAGGAUUACUAUUCAGAAAAAAAUGAUUAGGAAUUUGAAUUUGAACCCGACUAACAAUUGCAAAACCUAUUUCCAAAGUCGACGGAUUUCAAAAAUUCAUAUCUAAAUCCAAAACUGACCAAUUUUUCGAAAUCCAAAACCAAACCCAAACCUGAAGAAUGGAACCCGAAAUAAUUAUUUCUUUUUACCAUAUUUCAAAAUAUUUUAUAUUAAAUUUAAAAUUUUAAAAUAUAAAUUCAAAUCUAUACCUCUAUACCUAUACAUUAUUUCUCCUAAUUUUUUGCCACGUGGCGAAUUCUCCUUCACUCUUUUCUCUUCUCUCUUUCCACUCUCAUUUUCACCCAAUAUUUCAUCUUCCUAAACCCCCCACUCAAUUAAUGUGUUUACAUAAUACCAUCUCCACCCAAUACUUCAUCUUCCUAACCCCCCUAUCUCUCAAUUAAUAUGUUUAUAUGAUUUCAUCUCCAUUUCUUCAUAUCUUUUUUUUUCAUUUUUUUUUUUCUCCCCCUUAUCUCUCAAUUAAUAUGUUUACAUGGUUUAAUCUCCAUUUCUUCAUAUCUUUUUUUUUUUUUUUCUUGGCGCACAAAAAGGGCUCAUGUUUUGUAACUUUCUAAAAUUUUUUGUUGUGUGUGAAUUGAAAUUAGGGUUUCGAGGAUCGCGACGGAGCACUGCAGAAAAAAACGGUGAUGGAUUUGGAGUCAGUGAGAGAGAAGAAGCAGUGGAUGUGUGGUCGUGACUAAAGAGGAGCUGGACACUAGCGGCGAAGGCGAUGUAAAGAUCGGAAUUUGCCUCUCCGAUGUCGAUAGUGCAAUGAAGAUGUGUAUAGGGUAAAAAAAAUUUUAUUGCUUAUUUUAUUAUUAUUAUGUGUGAUUUAUUUAUCAAAAUUAUAAAUUUUAUUAUAUCUAUACCUAUAUCUAUUUUAUAUUUUAUACUUGUGUUUAUUGAAGUCCCAUAUCAAAUCAAAAAAUUUAAAAUUUUUAUUUUAUUUAUAUUUUAUAUUCUAUAGUAUCAUUCCGCCGCAAUGCGCGGGUAACUUCACUAGUAUAAUAUUAAACUUUAUAUAUGAUUCGGGUCAGAUUUAAGAUGGAUAUAGACAAAAUCCAUAGUUGGUCCACAAAAUAAUCUCACGUUCUUGUUGUCAAAUAAUUUGAAAAUUUUCUUAUAUAAAAUGCCAAAUAUGAGAGGAAAAAUAGAGAGAGAAAAAGAAACAAAGAGAGAAUAAAAAUUUUGAUAAUAUAGUAGAGAUAAAAUGACUAAAUUGCUCUUGUAUUAAAAGACAAAAAUACCAUUUUUUGAGGUACCUAGUAACCGGUACCUUUCCUAAAGUGACCUGCUAUUCUAUGUCACAAUUUAAAGAAAAUUAAAUCUAAACUGUUGAAUGGGAGUGAAAGAACGGUAAAGAAAAAAAAAAUAUAUAAAAGCAUUACUCUUCUAAUUAUAUUACAAUUGGGUACCUUUUGUCAGCUCCUACAUGUAGAGCACAUUAUGGAUAGUGGAUGGUACGACCCUGUUCAGGUUGCCCCUGUUCAGGUUGCUCUAAGGUGGGGUUUGUGGCCAAUUAUAGAUGUUUAUACCUACGGAAGAGAGAGUUGACUGUGUUUUGAUGCACCUGAUGUAUAGGUGUGUAGAAAUAAUUAAAUAAGUUGGGUGUUUUGGGAAUAGCUUCAAUUUCAACGAAAGAAGUCUUCUCAUAUUAUAGAAGACGAGAAAGGGUUCAGAAUGAAGCUAUUCCGCUAGAAGAGAAGUCAGAUAUAAUUCUUCUCUUGUUUAAUGAAUUUUAUUUCAACUGUAUAUUCUGCUUAUUUCUUUCUCUUUUUUAUAGUUGUGCGAGCUUUUGCUUAGGAGACGAAUUUAUAGCAAAAAAUUGAUUUAACACUUUUGUUGCAAAAUUUAACAGCUAGUAUCAGAGUGAGUAUCGGGUAAUUAAACAACAGAUGAUAUCAGAAAGAGUUGCAUAUUCUCAGCAUCUGGUAUCAGAGCGAGUACCAAAAUUUCAACAAUUGGUAUCAAAGCUUAAAGUUACUGAUUCUUGGGAGAGAUCAAUGAAAAUGACAACGAAAUUUGAAAUCGAGAAGUUCGAUAGCAAGAACAAUUUCGACUUGUGGCAGAUUAAAGUUUGAGCAGUUUUGUAAUAACCGAGAUUUUCAGUAAUAAAAAUUAAACCCUUUGUUGACAAUGUUCUUAUGUGUAAUAUAAUUACAUAAGCACUCGUUAAAUUUCAGGUGAAAACGAGUUAAGAUGGAGAAGUUAUGCGACCUGAACCGAUAACUUAAAGUGAAUAGUAACUCCGGCUUUCCAGAGAAGCCAGUGAGUAGAAGACGGUUUUGGUGCGCAUUGGACCCCGAUCAUAGCGCUCCAAUAGCUCGUUUCGAACGGUUCGACCAUUCUGGACCUAAUGGCACUGACGAAAUUGGAUUCUGAUCCACGAUUGUCGAGAAAAAGGGGUUUGAUCGGUUUCACAUGUAGUAAUAUAAGUGGCUACAUAGUGAAAACAAAAGAGGGAUGGUUUUGACGCAAAUCGAAAACCAAAUCGGACAAAGUAAGAUGCUAGAUUCGAUGCCCCAGUCGUUGUGAACGCGCUUGCGCAAUCCGUUUGGAAAUCCGACGGACGGAUCUUCGGGAAUCGUGAAAAGUCCGCUAAGAGGUCAAUUUGGCAAAAUCGAUUAAUCGCGAAAAGACCCUAUAUUUUAUGCGCCGUUUCACGAGAUUUCGAAUGUCGAGGGGCUGGCAUGCAAGUUACACAUGCGGCCAGGGGCAGGAUUUUAAUUAUUUGACUUUGAAGGGGUUCCUCGCAAAAUGACACCUUGUAUAAAAGUGGCAUCUAGGGUUUUCCAUGGUUCUUUGGCUGCCCACGUUCACUUUGCUAACCCUAGCCGCCCCACCUACACCCUGCCCUGCCUAUACGCACACCCGGACUGCCGGCGAGUAGCUCCGGCCGCCGGAAAAUCCACCCCGGCCUCCCCUCAACUCCUCGUUAGACCCACAUCGCCACGAGCUCAGUUGUUGUGCUCGAGGAGGCAUCGAAGCUCGAGUUUCAACAUCCCCUGACUGAGGCCCAUCCCGAGCGCCGUCCCCGNCUCGGUUGUUGUGCUCGGGGAGGCAUCAAAGCCCGAGCUUCAACAUCCCCUGGCCGAGGCCCAUCCCUAGCGCCGUCCCCGCCAGCCUCCGCCGUCCUCGCGUGCCGCCGGAGCCAUCCCAGCUCCCUAUGGCUAGCUGCAGUCACCCAGGCCGAGUCUGGGUGAUCUCUGCCUCCGCACGCCGCCGUCGCUCCCCGCCGGCCGCGACGCCCUCCUCGCACCUCCGGCGACCUCCCGCUCGCCAUCCCGGCCAUCCCCGUGGACCGCCGGCCGCUGCUUGUGCACCUUGCGGCCGCCAUGGGUUGGUGCGGGCCGAGGUCGAGUCCGGUCGACUUCCAAGCGUCGCCGCUGUCCAACGAAGGGUGCACCGCCUCUCCCUCGGCCUCCGGCGUCGAAUCGUCGCCGCCCCAAGCUCCUCCGGCCGCCGCCUUGCUGCCAGCGCCCUUGAACCCGUGAGCAGCCUUAGGGAGUUGAUCUCCCCCGCCGCGCCACCGGCCGCCUCCAGCUACCGGCCAGCGGGUGCCCCGGACCUCACCUACCGGCCGCGCCCUCUCCUGGCUGGACCAACCCUAGCUCUCCCCGGUUCCGGUAAGGCUGUUUUAUGUUCCAACACUGAAUUCUGAGAUUCCGGUCACCUUUUCGGUGAUCCGUUAAGCCUUCUAGACCUCGGGAAGUGAGCACGGUGAUCUACAACACGUGCUGAACAUCUUGCUCACCUCCGACAGGGACAGAGAUGCCCUGGAUUGUGCAUUAAUGGCAAUCUUAGCGCUGUGCGCGCUGUUUCACUGAGUUUCAUGUCACUCAUGCGUGUGCCACAGUGGCCGACAGUUCUCCGAAAGGUGAGCACGGCCUUCGCUGAAACCUAUCAGCGAGCGUGACGGUUUGCCGAAUCGAUCUCUGGUUUGCGUGCACGGUCAGAAAAGCCUAGAAAUCACAUAAAAUGAUGCGAUUUCAUGUAUCGGUAUGGGCUUUUAGGACUUUUGCUUCGAUGUAGAUGCUGUUGGCAGCAUGUUUGGGCUGAGGAUAACCUCUGGACUGAUCGUCCAAGGCCCCAAGCUUUUGCGGAAAUCGAAAAGUGAUUUCUGGAGCAUUUUUCGGCGAAAUCCGCCGAUAGAACGCGUUUUCGAUUCGAAAUUCAUCCGACGAUGCCUCGUGGUUGAUUGUAGUGUCGCUGAGCCUUGUUGGCUUGUCACCCGUGUCGUUUCGAGGGUUCAGAAACGACGGGUGAGCAACAGCGGUUUCCGGUGUCGAAAUAGACACUUCCGGGAACCCGAAUCGGAACGAUUAUCCGACGAUAAUCGUUCCGCAUUGAGUUAGUGUCUUUGCUGCCUUGUCACACUAAAAUAGGUGUUUAGCGGCAGUGAGCAACUCAUAUGAUGAGUUGGGUAGUUCCGGGAUGGUUCGUGGGUCCCGGCGGAGUCCCGGUGCAGUUUUUUUGUGACUUCUAGUGAGUUCGGCAACCUGUUUUGGGAAACCGAUUCCCGAGGGGCUAUGAUUGUGGGAUUGUGAGUUAGCGAUACGUGUUAGUGGGUUAGGUUCUAACCCGGUGGACCUUUCGUAGGUUCGGUUGCACCGUCUUCACAGUCGAGAGAUUUUCGUCAGACACGUACAGGUGGGUACUUCGAUCCGACGUCGGUACAGUGGUGCACGCUCGGUGACGUUUCCUUUACCCUUGUUGUUUAUAUCAUUUACCUUAUACAUGUUGAGCCUUGCACCCAUGCUAUUUCCUUAUUUACUCUACUUAGUUGUUGCCAGGUGCAGUAUCAUAUGUAGGAGUAGAGUAGACUUUAUCUGUAUAUGAUAUUUAUGACCUGGUCGGUCGGUUCUCCUAUUUGCAUCUGUGAUCUGGUUGGUCGGUUCUCCUAUUUGCAUCUAUGAUUUGGUUGGUCUGUUCUCCUAUGUGAUCUCCAUGAGCUGGUUGGUCGACGUUGCAUCUCUUAUACUUGUGACCUGGUUUGUUGAUUUGAUUACAUGAUGACUUAUGUGGUUGGUGUGCCCUAGGGGGCAGGAUUGUCGGCUGGUUGCCGACGGUUGAUCAUUGAGCAUAUUGCAUUGAUCGCCCGAUACUCGUCACAUUUCACGAACACUGGCGGUCUGAUCCACCACAAGGGGUGUUCUUUUCCGGAAAAGUGGUUGCAGGUGCCAACCCGUGAGCCCUAGAGGGGUUAUAUGCAUGAUAGAGUAGUAGUGGCACUGGCUUGAGGUUUGCGGUGCGGACCAAGAGAGCAUUGGUUUCAGAUUGGGUACUUUUGGACUGAUUGUCCCGUUGAUGCAUGCAUACAGUAGCUGUAGUGGUUUAUCUAUACACAUUUUAUUACUUGUUUAUCUUAGCUACUGUACUACCAUUAUCCAUAUCCUUGUUUAUCUCCGUGACUAGUGAGUACCCCUCGCCCUCGUCGGCUUGCGGUACCCACUGGAAGGGGAGACAUGUUUACAUAUUCUCACCCCCCCGCCCCCAUUACAGGUGACGUCGCAAGUCCGAGUGGGACAGCUGGUGAGGAGCGUGUCUAGCGUACGAUAGAGCUCCGUCCCGUGUCGGUUAUUUCUUUACCCUUCAUGCUUGAAUAAAUAACUUAGACAUAUUAUGGUUCAGUUUUGUUAUAUUAUUUGAAUAUCUGAGUUUUCAGUUGGAUUUAUGAUGUAAUAAAAAGGAUUUGUGGAUUUCAAAUGUUGAAUGGUUUUCUACCCCUCGUGGUAGCGUUUCUAAAAGAUAAAAGUUCCCGUGUAGGAAACAGUUUUUAAAAGAUUUUUUGUGGAUUUUGUAUCUUAAUAUUUCAAAACCUGUUUCUGGGUUGGAAACGUUUUAACUGAUAGAUGUAGAUUUAUGUUUAAAUAUUAAAUGUAUAACUGUGAUGUGAAUGGUGAAUGAAUGAUUGUAUAGUUGUUUCUAUAUUCAUUUAGUUGCGGUUGUAUCCAGUUUACUUGUUGUACUUGUGCGACGCCGUGCAAAUACAAGGGAGACUUUGUCCGUGUGAUCAGUGAACUUUCUGUAUUUGUGGUGGAUCUGGCAUACCUUGGGGUCAGAUCUUUCAAAAAAAAAUUUCUGGCUAUUUCCGCUGUAUUUUCAAACAAAAAUAGACCCCGGGGCGUGACAAGUUUUGACACAACAAGAUUUGGAUGAGAUGUUGAAAGGAAAAGAGGCAAAGUCGACAGAGGUCAUGGAUACUACAAGGGAAAAGCUGGAGUGGAAGGUACUUAAUACGCUUUAUCUAUUGUUAACAGAUGAGAUUCUUUAUAACAUGGCCAACGAGUCUACAUCGGCAAAGUUGUGGGAAAAGUUAGAAAUUCUAUAGACGACCAAGUCCCUGAUGAAUUUAUUGUAUCUAAAGCAGCGACUAUUCAUGCUGCGAAUACAAAAAGUGGCGACCCUACAUGAGCAUCUUAAUGAGUUUAACAAGGUAGUGACCCAGUUGACCAGUAUCGUAGUCAAUCAGGAUGACGAGGACAAGGCAUUGAUUUUACUUUCUUCAUUAUCAUGGGUAUUCGAGUAUUUGGUGACCACAUCACUUUAUGGCAAGGAGACCAUAAGUACGGAGGCGGUCACAAUGGUGCUUCUCUCAAACGAGAUAUGAAAGAUGACAUAGGAGUCUGACAUGCAAAGUCGUGAUACAGCGCUAGUGGUUAGUGCGACAAAGGAUGCGAAAACAUUGGCGACCGAAAGUGGAUAAAAAAAGCUGCUAUCCGCGGUGGAGUGCUUCUACUAUCAUAGGAAAGGUCACUAUAAGUGCAACAGUCAUAAGCUUUAAAGUGAUAUGAAUGAGCUCAAGCAACAGAAGGAAAAAAAAAACUAUUGUGGACUCGAAUUAGGAGAGAUCAGUGAUGGCGUAGCAGCAAAAUAGAAGGUAAUCAAUUCUAAUGCACUACAUGCAACAACUGGUGAUGCUAAAAUUUCGGAUGAUGUGUGGGUGCUCAAUUGAACGUGUUCCUUUGACGUCUGCCCAGAAAAAAAGUCUUUUGCUAUCUAUAAAGAAAUCAGAGGUAAAAAAGCUUUUAUGGGGAAUGGGACGGCAUGUAAAGUUUUGAGAGCCGGCGCGGUGAAGAUUCAAGUUUGUAGAAACUAAACAAAAGAACAAGAAGAUGGCACAUCAGGUUCCUUGCUUUCUAAUUCUUAAUUUUCUAUUGCCUUUUCUUUUGACUACUUGAUUUUCCUUCAUGGCAAAAGAAAAUUGUAUUCUUCUUUAACACUUUUGUUUUGGUUAAUCACUUGUAUUGAAAUGCUGUUUGAUUUUAAUUUUUCAAAUAAGAGAAGUUAGGUAGAACUCAGCAGUACCCUCACAUUGUCGAAUAUCAAACUUAAUUAGUCUGAUCACAUUCUCAAUGAAAACAUUAUGUUUCUUUUCGUUUCAGUUCCCAAACACAAAAAAUACCAAUCACGACAAACAAUCAUUUGAAAUUCUCCAGUCUUUUGCCGUAUUUUAGGUGAUCUAAGCAUACAAUGCAAGUUUUGUACAAGGACUAGUAAUAUGAAAUAAAAACCAGUGAACAGGCACAAAAUGCAAAAUGCAUUGUUGAGGUCAUCAUAAAACAAGUCGGUCUACGAGGAAAACAAUUAAAUUAUUCAAAAAUUUGCAUUCUAGAACUUGUUUAUCCAUCUUUAUGAAAAAGCAAACUAAAAACUAACACAAGAACUUAAAUCUCCUUAAUUGGUUGUAGUUUUCUAGUGAACUGCGAUUGAAAUUCAAAGAUUUAAUACCUAUGAAGCAAGAAACUGUUGGUUUCUCCAUAAAUUUACAUUGAGGAAGAGGAGAUACAUGUGACAGUACAUACAAAGGUAGUGAUGUCAUGCAAAUAAAAGGUUUUUUUUACACAAAUUUCCUCUCAAGAUUUGUUUAUUCACACAAGAAAAUUCCUGGAAUUUAUAUUGAAUCCUGAAAAAUACUAUAAUCUUACGGUAUGACUGACAUAAAUGUAUCUCUAAUAGUUUAUAGGAUCGUGCUACAAAAUACUAAAUUCAUCGAUAGAUUAAUCUCACUUUCUCCAUCUACCUAACUGAAACACCAUUUUGUGAUGUAGGAAUAUAAUUAUUAUUCGGUGAUUGGUCUCCAAUACCUCUGUAGAGAAUUCCACCGUGUCCAAUGCAAAAUGCAAGUCUACAUGGAGUUUGAUGUGAAACCGUCUCGAUGUUUAGCAUCACCACCACUGUCGACAUCAUCGGUCUAUCUGCUGGAUCCUCCUGAACACAUAAUAAUCCGAUGGGAAUGUACCUCAAUGCUUCAUUUUGCAAGUAAUUUCUGCCUAAGGAUGGAUCCACUAUCUCUAAAAUUGUUCCAUUGAUCUAGUGUUCCCAUAUCUACAUCACUGCAAUUUUAGUACAUCAAAAUCCAUCCAAUGUUCUAUACAACAAAGAGAGAGAGAGAAAGAGAGAGAGAGAGAGAGAGAGAGAGAGAGAGAGAGAGAGAGAGAAAGCAAUGUAUAUUUUGCGCCUAUUGAGUUUCGACUACUAGAGUAGAUAGCUUCUCUAUUAUAGGAAGCAAAAGGUUGUAGUAACAGGAAGCUAAAAUCUAUUUCAGGGUAUCAAAAGCAGAUACUACAAUUUGAAGCUUCAAAAUUUGCUGCAACAGGAAGUAUUUGGGAGAUUUAAACCAAAAAUUACUUGACAGAAAUUCGUUACGAGGCAAAAUUGUCUUUCAGUGUAAAUCAACAUUGUUGUUUGACCUAGGAAGAGCUUUUAUAGAAGUAUUAUUUUACUACAGUUGUUAAACAAAGCACUAAGAGCGUUUUUCGACAAUAUCCUAUCAACUACUUCCUUUGCAAGUAGAAGCUUGGAGGUUCUGCCUCUGCAAUUACCAAAAGCUCAUUUCGGCUUCCCGGCCAAUCAGAAGCUCCAGAUCUUUUUUGUUUAUCAAAUGCCUACUUCCUCUUUUCAAUAUCAAGCAAAGAAGUAUUUCUAAAGUUAGAAGCUAGGAUGUAAAAAGCACUUGAAUCUAAAUGGAGUUGCGCAAUUGAAACACUCACAUAGGUCAAGAGAACUUUAUCCUGCUGAGAGUGGAGGGGGUGUAAGGACUGAGAUUUUUGCAGUGUAGCUAAACUCUCAGUUGACGAUGUUUUUGUGUGUAAUUUAAUUACAAAAGCACUCGUCAAGUUUCGGGCGAAAACGAGUUAAAACGGAAAUUCUACGCGAUUUCCAAGUUUCACUUAAAGUGAAUAGUAACUCGAUUUUCCGGAGAAGCCGCGGUGAGAAGUUGGCUUCUGGCUCACACCGGACUCUGUUCAUAGCAGUCCAAUAGCUCGUUUCGACCGGGUCAGCUAUUCUGGAACUAAUGAUGCUGACGGAUUUUGAGUUUGACGCACGGAUUUCGAGAAAAUCCAAAAAUACAUGUUUUAUAUGUAUUUUGUGUGUGUUUCCUUCUAUUCGAAGAAGGUUGGAUUUUGUCGUGAAUCCGUGGUCGAUCAAGACGAAACGAAAUCGCAGCUUUGUUGUCUCCGAGGUGCUGAUCGCACCGGUGCAAUCCGUUCGCAAAUCUGACGGACGGAUCUGCGGAGAUCGCGCGUUGAUCGAGGAGAGGUCGGUAGUGGCAAAACGGUAUUUUCGCGAAAGUCGCGAUAUUUUAUGUACCGUUUUGCGUGAGAUCGCACGUGGAGGGGCAUUCAUGCGUUUUAGUCGUACUGUGAGGGAUUCGGAUUGAAAUUUGGAUGUUUGAGGGGCUUUCUUGCAAGUUGUACCAUGUAUAUAUAGUUGUUUUCUAGGGUUUUGAUCCCCUAACCCUAACCCUAGCCAGCCCCAGCUACCCUAGUCACCCCAGCCACCUUCACCCUUCCCCCUGCCCUUGCUGCACCACCCCCGGCCGCCGCCGAGCCACCACUUCUCUUCCUUCCCUCUCUUUCUCUCUCCCUCUCUCCUCUCGGGUUGUGUGAAGGCCCGGGGCUGCGUCUCCUGCAGACCCUCCCCCUGGACUUCACCAUGCUCCGGCAAAUCAUCCCCGCCGACCGCCGCCGUCGCCUGCGCAGCCGCAGCCGCUCCAGCCGCCUGCAGCAGCCCAGGCCGAGCCUGGCCGAGCCGGGUUGCCACGGCCACCAGCGCGCCGCCGCCGCCUGGUAUCCCUCCCGCCGACCUCCCUCGUGCCCGGGCGCCCCUUCCCGCCGGUCGCCGCCGCCCCGGCGCGCAGCCGCCGCCGCCUCGGCCAGCCCGCAGCCGCCCCAGACCCGCUCGGGCUGAGGCGAGCGUGCGACUCCCCCCUGCGCCGCCGCCGCUUGAGGCAGCACCCGAGGCACUCCCCCGACCUCCUGCAGCCCGCCUCCGCCGUCCCGGAGCUCCCCGGCCGCCGCCGUGGCCGCAGCAACUCUUGGAACCCGAGCCCGAUCCCGUGCGGGCUCGGUUUGCUCCGCCGCCGCCGUCGCCGCUUCCAGCCGCCUCCUGAGGUGAGCACCGUGUUCCUCACCUCCCCCGCACCCGACUCUGGGCCCCGCGCGCCCCGUCGUGCCGCCGGAGGCCGGCCGGAGCAGGGUUGCUCCGGCCAAGCCCGAAAUAGGGCUUAUUGAGUGGGUUUCUUGUUCUGGGCUUCCCGAGCUUCCCCGAUCUCCACGGAAGGGAGCACGAUGAUCCUGGCAAGUUGUUGAUCAUCGUGCUCACCUUGGUUUCUGUCGGGAAGGCCCCGUUCCGCUGUUUUGGCGAUGUCGCUCCGUUUCAGCCUUUUCGGCUGCUGUUUCGGGUUUGUGCUUGCUUUUUCGGCGAUCCGAGGCUGUCCUGAUGCCUCCGAAGGUGAGCACGGUGAUCGUCGGUCAGUGCUGAUCACAGUGCUCACCUCACUGUGGAUCAACAGUGUCCGGUUAGUUCUGUUCGGCGCGAUCUUCCCUGACUGCGCGCUAUUCGCUGAACCUUCGGGUUGCUCCCGCGCUUCCCACAGCGAGCCGCUGUGAUCCGGACGUGAGCACGGACUCGGGUACGUCGAGACCUGUCAGUGCGUGUCUCUGCGGACUUUGAAAGCCUCGGUUUGCGUGAACGAGCGCUGAUCGCUCAAAUUACAUAAAAUGACGAAAUUUUAUGUAAUUAGAGGUCUUUUAUGCAAUUGUGCUUUGCGUGGCUACUGUGGCAGUGUGUGGGAGUUUGUUAUGAUCGCUGGACUGAUUGUCCAUGGUCGUUAGCUUUGCGGAAAUCGGUAGGUCGAUUUCGGUGCGUUUUUCGGCGAAAUUCGCCGAAGAAACGCGGUUUCGCGUUCGGAUUCUUUCCGACGGUGUUUGGUUGCUUCGUGUUUGUCGCCAAGCCUUGUUGGCUGUCACCAUCAUCAUUUGUGGGUUCGAUGAUGAUAGGUGAGCCGACGGAGGUUCCGUGUCGAAAUAGACACUUCCGGGAACCCGGAUUCGUACGAUUAUUCGGCGAUGAUCGUAUUGUUGUGUGACCUUGUGUUCGCUGCCAGGCAUCCAAAUUGGAAUGUUUUGGGGCAGCGGGUGACUCGUGGUACGAGUCGGUGAGUUCGGGAACUUAGUGGGUCCGACGGCGUCCCGGUGUGGUUUUCGGACUUCCGGUGGGUUACGGUAAUCGGUUUUGGGAAACCGAUUACAGGGACUUGUGUGGGUUUGUGAGUCUCGUGCUUUGGGUUAGUGGUUUGGAUACUGACUUGGUGGAUCUUCUUAGGUCCGGUAGACUUGUGCGUACCCAGUGUUCCGACGCGACAGUGACAGGUGGUGCUUCGAGCUGGUAGUCGUGAGAGCGUUUCACUUCCUUCUCCUGUUUCUAUUCCUGUGUUUAGACUCUACAUGUCAUUGCUUGUUAUCGUUGGUUAUCGUACCCUUGAUUGCAUUGUAUAGUUGUGAUAGACAUGUGUAGAGCAGUUGCAUUUGUAUUUCAGUAUCUCUGUGGACCUUGGGUCCAGGCAACACAUCGACUCUCUUGUCGUGUGUUUCGAUCUGGUUGAUCGAGUUCGGCGUUGUACGCUCUAGCUUCUAUUUCAGUUUGGCAUUGUACGCCUCGUUGUUGGCUUCGGCCUAGGCACCGGCUUUAGCCGGGUUUGUUUUUGUUGAGCAUACCAGCAUGACUUAGUCACGGCACUUGGGUGGUAUUCAUGACACCGAUCGGUUUGGCCACCAAUCGGAGUGUACUUAUCCGGAUGGGUCGUCCUGCGGGGCGAUGAUCAGGUCGGUGCAGUUAGUGACAGGUAGCGCUUGAGGUCUACGGACCGAUACAGCAGGCACAGAUUGGGUACAGAUUCUGGUUCAGUACAUUGAGGCAUUCUUUGCAUUGUUUUCUAUACAUAGCAGGUUUAUUUAUUGCUUCCUUUAUCUGUUGUAGCUACUGUAGUUUCUAUUUCAUAUCAGCUUACAGUUAUAUACUUGUUUAUCUAUCUCCUUUGGUUUCCGUGAUUACGACUUGCCUUCGUGGCUCUGUCGUACCCACUGGAAACCAUGGUUGCGGUUUCUCACCCCCCUUUCCCCCCCCAGGUUACAGAGACGAGGAGUUGGAUUUUUGGCUCGACGAGAGGACGAUCUAGUUAGACGGCAGUAACGACCGUCACCCUUGGUUAUUCUUUCCCGCACUUAGUAGUUUUCUUAAUAAAUGGUUCAGUUAGAUUUUGAAUGUGGUGAUUUCCGUUAUGCAUGAGAUUGGAGUUUUCGAUCUGUGGUUUUGGUUCUGUGGAGAUUUGGUUUUCUUGUAGUCCUGCAUCGUGGUUUUCUACCCCUCGAGGUAGUCGGUUUUCAAAAUAAGUUUCCGUGUGGGAUAAACAAUUUAAAAAGGUUUUCGAAUGGCUUUUAUAAAUGAUUGAAUUAGAGUUUAAAAACAAAAACUUGCGUGUGGGGAGCACUUUUAAAUAGGAUGUUUGUUGUAUUGUGCAUCGCAUCAUCCAGCGCCUAAGGAGUGCUUAGAGGCAUGCAUCAUUCUAAGGAUUGUUAGCUGUAUGGAAAUGCAUAUCAUGCCUUGGUUGUUGAUUGGUAAAUGUAGGUUGUGGUUGAGAUCCUGUUGUAUCGUUGGUACGCCGUGCAAAUACAAAGGAGACUCUGUCCGAGUGGACAGAGGAACUUUGUAUUUGUGGCGGGUCUGUACGUCGCGUGGGCCAGGUUGAGAAAGAGGUAUUUUUAAAAUAAAAAAAAAAAUGGCACGUUUUUCGCAACUCUGUUUUAAAAAGACUUUUAAAAUCGGCCCCGGGGCGUGACAGGGGGGCAGUGUUCUUCCUCCCUGUGAUGAUCUCCAACAUUACAACACCAAAGCUAAAUACAUCUGACUUGACUGAGAAGUGACCAAGCAUAACAUAUUCUGGUGCCAUAUACCCACUGUUAAAUGGCAUUAUAAUGCUAUUAUUAAUACAUGUCAUGAUUAUCAAUGUGAGGGAAUCAAAAUUAAUUGUAGAAUAAGAAAAUGAGCACAAUAUAAAUGAGUAAACAUAUAAGUUAAUAUAUUCUUGAAAUAUUAUCUACUUAAAACAUAUAUUAUCAUUUGUGCAACAUCUGAAUUUUGUUUGUAAAAAUAUUGCCUCUCUUUUAAAACAUGUCCUAAUACAAAACUGGCUUGUCCCAUGAAUUGGAUUACUCUCAAUUGUAAAAAAAAAGAGUACCAAUGCAAGAAAUUAUACUUUACGCUAGCAUAUAUGAAAUUAGAGUAAAGGUAGAAUACUCCUAGAAGUAAAUGAGAUUGUUUACUUUCAGGCCGUUUUCAGCAAUUGAGCAUCAAAAUCGAUGAUCGACAUUAUUAAAUACCAACUUUACUAUUUGAACUUCGUAAAACAUGAGUUUCACAAUUUUAUGGUAUCAAAUUUAUCUUAUAUUAAUCAUUAUAAGUUGUCAAAUUUGUAACUAUUUAGAAUAUAGGCAAAUGAUGUCAACAAAUUAUAAAAUUUAAAUUUUAGAAAGUUCAAAUAGCCUUGACCAUUUCUAAUGUUGUGGGUUGUCGAUUUAGAGAUCCCCUCUCCAAAAAAAAUGAUGUAAAAGUGAAUGACGUUGUUUACUUCUAGAAGUAUUCUAGCUUCGCUCAUGGAAUUACAUGUUUCACUGGAGUGUAAAUGUGAAAAAAUUAGAUUACUUCGCUAAGGGCCUGUUUGGUUCCUUGGAAAAUGGUAGAAAACUAUUUUCUUAAAGAAAGAAAAAUUUGUGGAAAAGAAUUUUUUUUAGUUUCUAUUGUUUGGUUCGAUGCAAAAAAAAAAAAAAUAGUUUUCAUGUAUGCAGGUUUGGUUGGUAAGAAAAAAAAGGAAAAACAGUUUUUCAUUUAUUUUUGACUUGUUUGGUUAGUUGAAAAUCUUGGUAUAUAAACACCUUCUACAAAAGGAGUUGAGAUUACCAACCUUUUAAAAUUUAUUAACAUAAUACUCAUAAACACUUUACAAUAUAAAUUAGAAAUAAUUAACUAAAAAUAAAUUUUAACUAUAUUUUCGUAUUAGACAGUAUAAUUUGACAAAAGAGAUGGAAAUAAUGAAAAUGACGGAUAAGAGAUGGAGAUGGUUCUUCUGUAUGUAUGGGUGUGUGUGUAUAUGUCUAUAUAUAUAGUUUGGAAAUAUAGAAAUAAGAGUAAUGCUUCUAUACUUUUUUUUUGUUACCGUUUAUUCAUGCGUAUUCAACGGCUCAGAUUUAUUUUUUUAAAAUUGUGAACUGCAAUAGUAGGUCACUUUGGGAGAGGUACCGGUAACCGGUACCUCAAAAAAGGAUAUUUUUGUCUUUUAAUACAUGGGCAAUUUAGUCAUUUUACAUCUACUAUAUUUUUAAAAUUUUUAUUUUUUCUUUGUUUCCUUUUUCUCUCUCUAUCUUUCCUUUCAUAAUUUGGCAUUUUAUAUAAGGAAAUUUCAAAUGAUUUGACAAUAUGAUCAUUGAAUUUAAACUUUAAAUAGUAAUAUGAAAUUCCUCUAAUUUAAAUUUCACUUUUAAAUUUAAAAUUUAAUAUUAUAUUCAAAUUUAUAUAAAAAUUUAAGUUUUAUAUAAAUACUUUGAAAUAUGGUAAACAGAAAUAAUUGUUUGAAUUCUAGUCUUCUGGUUUAGGUUUGGUUUUGGGUUUCGAAAAAUUGGUCAGUUUUGAAUUUGGAUAUGGAUUUUUGAAAUCCGUCGAGUUCGGAAAUAAGUUUUGUGAUUGUUAGUCAGAUUCGAAUUCAAAUUCCUAACUAUUUUUUUUCUCACCAAUAAUUCUAAUCUUUUUAAUUUAUAUGUUUAAAAUUAUAUUUAAAAUAUUUAUUAGCUCUAACAGUUAAAUUAUCAUUCUGUUUAAAAUAUUUAUUAUCUUUACCGGUUCCAAAUUGUUCUUAAUGUUAUUCGGUUCAAUAGGUUAAAAUCAGAUUCUUGAUAGAAUAGGUCAAAGUCUGAUCAGUCAAAUCAAUCGGUUCAAUCUAGUUUUUAAAUCAUUGAAUUUAAAAUUUAAAUAGUAAUAUGAAAUUCCUCUAGAGAAAUCUAGUUGUAGAAAUCUUACUCUCUAAGUUUUUUAUGCAUUACGUUUUAAACUGGUGCGAAUAAACUGUAUUUUAAAUCUUGGUAGAAAUUUAGUUUUUAAAUAGUAAUAUGAAAUUCCUCUAAUUUAAAUUUCACUUUUAAAUUUUAAGUAUUUAAUUUUUAAAAUUUAAAUUCAUCGUAUUUAGAAAUAAAACUAUUUCUAAAAUUUCUAUAAUUUAAAUUAAUGCAUAAUUUGAGAAACACUAAAACAUUUAAAGUAGAUUCCUAAAUUAAUGCCUAAUAAUUGUAUAAAUUUGGUUAAUCAAUUAAUUUCCUAAAUUAGUGCUAAUUAAUGCAUAAAUUUAGGACCUCAAUUAAAAGUUUCUUUAAAUAUUGUAUUAUUUAAUUACCAAACUAACCUUGAAUAAAAUAAUCCUUUUACCUGCUAAGUAUUAAAGUUACAUUUUUACCCUCUAUUAAUCAACGGUUAAGAUCUUUUUUUAUUUUAUUUUAAAAAAAGUACUGAAUCAUUUCUCUAGAAAUAAAGAUAGGAGACAGUGAAAAUGGACCGGUGAUAAACAUACACCAAUAUAUUAGAAUUUUUUUUCUUUUUUACUCCUCAAAACGUUUGUGAGAAAAAAAAUUUCGUUGUAAUAUCCCGGGUGUUUAGCUGUCUGAGUGAUUUUGGCAUCUGGGGCUUAUCGACACGUCUGGUGGGUGUCGAGACAAGUCGGAGUCGUCUUGGCACGAAAUGGACGCAAAACGGACUCAGCGCGGUGCGAGAGUGGAGUUCUAAUACUGAAAUUUGCAAAGUGCAGGAUUUCAGUGUUGAGUACCGGUACCUGGGAAGGAGUACCGGUACCCCAGUGAGAUUGUAGAACUGGAUGCUUUUGGGUUUGCGCAUGUCUGAUGCUGAGUACCGAUGCCUGUUGUGGAGUACCGGUAUCGAGCUCGGGUACCGGUACUGCAUUAGGCUGGUACCGGUACCCAGCGAGCGAGACUGCGGAUUGAGGGGCCGAGUACCGGUAUUUAAGCCGAGUACCGGUACUCCAGGUGUAAAAGUGAGUUGGUAAGGAGUAUUUUGGUCCUUUUGAUGUGUCGUUCAUCCCAACCUAACCCAGCCUAUAUAUUUACGCGUAGGGAGUUUUAGAGAACAGGAUACUCCUUCUUUUCCUUCUCUCUCUAGCCGGUGUACGCCGUGUAUUGGGGAGGUCGAGGUUCAAGCUCGUUCGGAUUUGUCGUUUCUUCGGAGGACCGUUUGUGCGCGUGGGUGUCUUGGUGGAGUUAUUGGAGGUCGAGCGAGCGGACGGGAUUCCUCCUAUCAACUUCUUGCCGAUGUUGGAUGAGCGCUCGAGGUGGGUUAAAUGUUUGCCGAAAUCGUCGGAUUGCUUUCUAAGUCCUAAAAUUGUCAGCAUGUAUUAUUGGCUUUGUUCACCCUGUUAGUAGCUCGAAUUCAUCGAUUUGCAUGUUUGUUUUAUAAAAUCUGAAUUUGGAGCAUAAGCUAGUGAAUUUAGAUGUAAUUAUAAAUGUUGAACUGAGAUUUGACUUAGGAGAAAACUCAUUAAACCUACAAUGCUAUUUUUUGCAAAGUUACCAGAUUUAGCUUUAGGAGCUGUUGUUCUUUUGUAUCCCCGCUGUUAGUGCGUAUUGGAUACUCAGAUUAAUGUAGGGUGAGUUUACGCUCAUGCUUGGAGGCCGAGCUCGUUUUGCAGUAGUGUGUAGAUUGUUCCGUACUACGGGGGCCGUCGUGGUUGACGAUGGAUCCAGAUUUGCAUCAAAUUGGGCCUAGGGCAUCUGAGCUUUGGUUGUUAAACCAGUUAGACCCAUUUGCAUUGACUAUAGUCUGUGAGAGCCUGAUUGAGCUCGGCAGAGACACGCUUGCAUACUCGGUUGGGUCGCGCCCACGAGUGCCGCUCCGGAGUGAGGCUUUGACUUGCGUUGAUUUCGCAACCGUCCUGUUUUGACCAUUUUCUUGAACGGCCAUUCCCGUGGGUGGUGUACGGUGUAGCUUGGUUACAGGCAGGGUGGGUCCGUUUGGGUAGCCCGUAUGAGAUUGGGUCAGUGGUAGCUAAUGAUGCAUGUUUAUGUCUGCAGUUAGUUGGUUUUGGUAGCGAUAGUGUAGAGGCAUAUAGUUGUAGAGUUUUUUCAUCUUUCCUUAUUAUCUUGUGUAUACAUUACUGUAGAGUUAGUGGGUGGGCCGUUGAGGUCGAUGACGGUACCCACUGAGGACUACUCUGUUUUGUAGUAGUUCUCACAUCCAGUUGUUGACAACUUUUGCAGAGCCUUCGUCUGCGGCUGCUGCUGUUGUGGAUUCUGACCGAGGCAAGGGAGUCUCGAGCUAGAGCCGCCCCUUCCCUGGUCUUUUGCUAGAGGAGUACCCGUCAGAGGUAGUUUUUUGGUUUUUUUUUAUGUACAUACUGUUAUGCUUGUGAUACUCGCUGGAGUGAGGUGUUAUGGUAGACUUUUGUACGUACAGUGAACCCUUUCUGAUUUAUAUAUAUUUUAGUUCUAGUAGCUCUAUACACUUUGGUUGUAGCUCCUAUUCGUGUGCAGGUACAGCUAUCGCUUCGUAUACAUGAGAAAUUUCUAUGUAUACGGCGGGUCUGUUGGCGUACCCGGAAAAAUGUGAAAAUCCGGGGUGUGACAUUCGUUGUCCUAAAAAAAUUGAAAAACAAAAAGAGAAUUUUGCCAUGAAAUAUGGAAAAUAAUUUUUCAAAAAAAUUAAUUUUCUUGCGAACCAAACAGAAGGAAUGUAAGGACUGAGAUUUUUACAGUGCAACUAAACUCUUUGUUGAUGAUGUUUAUGUGUGUAAUUUAAUUACAUAAGCACUCGUCAAGUUUCAGGAGAAAAUGAGCUAAAACAGAGAAGUUACGCGAUUAUUAGUUUUCACUUAAGUGAAUAGUAACUCCAGUUUUUCGGUGAAGCCACCGAGUAGAGUUGGCUUUCCACGCGUAUCGGACUCCGUUCAUAGCGAUCCAAUAGCUCGUUUCGACCGGUUUAGCUAUUCUGGAACCAAUGGCGCUGUCGGAUUUUGAGUUUGACGCACGGAUUUCGAGAAAAUCCAAAAAUAUAUUUUUAUAUGUAUUUAGGUGUUAUUUCUUAUGUUGGAAAGAAGAUUGGAUUGUGUUGUGAAUCCAUGGUUGAUCGAGGUGAAGCGAAAUCACAGCUUUGUUUUCUCCGUCGUGCUGAACGCGAUGGCGCUGUCGGAUCGAAAAUCCGAUGGACGGAUUUUCGAGAAACGCGAAAUGUUCGCUAAGGGGUCGAGAGUGGAAAAUCGGGAAAUUCGCAAAAGUCUUAAUAUUUUAUGUACCGUUUCACGUGAGAUCGCACGUGGAGGGGUAUCCGUGCACUUUACUCGUGCUAUGAGGGACUCUUUAUGAAAUGUUGAGUUUUGAGGGACUUUUCUGCAAAUUGGAGCUUCGUAUUUAAGCUUUUCACGUUGGAACCCUAACCCUAGCCCUAGCCGCAUCACCCUAACCGACCUAACCGCCUCUCCUCCCUUCCCUGAGUGCACGGCUUGCGCCCCAGCCGCCGGCGCACACUGCCGGUCGCCGGAGAAGGAGGUUCCUUCUCCCUGUAGCUCUCUCUUCCAUCCAUCUCCCUCUAUCUCUCUUUCUCUCGGGUUGGAGCCCAGGCUGAGGCUACAGGGCCUUCACCGGCGUCGCCCUGUGCCUCGCCAACCUCCCCCGCCGACCGCCGCCGUCGCCGUGCGCCGCCGCUGCCGCUGCUGCCGCCCAGGCCACAAGCUGCCAGCCUGGGCCGAGCCUAGGCCGAGAUCUGUUCGCGACCUCCCUCCCGCGUCGCCGCUGCCUGUAACCUCUCCCGCCGACGUCCACGGAGCCCCGGCAUCCCUCCCCGCCGGCCGCCGCCGCCUCUGCGGGCCGCCGCCGCCGCGGCCAGCCGCAGCCGCUCCAGAUCCGUUCGGGCCGAGGCGAACUCGCGACGCCCUCCCUGCGUCGCCGCCGCGUGGGACCACACCCAAGGUAUCCCUCCGGCCUCAGGCAACCUUCUGCCGCCGUCCUGGAGCUCCGCGGCCGCCGCCGUGCCCGCCAUUGCCCGCGGAACCCGAGCUGAGCCUGUGCGGGCUUGCCUUGCUCCGCCAUCGCCGCCGCCGCUCUCCGUCGUCACCUGAGGUGAGCGCCAUGCUCCUUCCCUCCCCCGCACCCAAUCCUGGCCACCGCGCGCGCCGCCGUGCCGCCGGAAGCCGGCCGGAGCAAGCUUGCUCCGGCCAAGCCCGAAAUAGGGUUGUUUCUGGGAUGUUUACUGUUACGAGCUUCCCGAGCCUCCCCGAUCUCUACGGAAGGGAGCACGAUGAUCCUGGCAAGUUUCUGAUCAUCGUGCUCACCUUGGUUUCUGUCGGGAAGGCCCCGUUUCGCUGUUUUUGCGGUGUCGACCCUGUAGAGCCUUUUUGGCUGUUGUUCUGUGUUUGUGCGUGCUUUUCCGGCGAUCCGAGGCUGUCCUGAUGCCUCCGGAGGUGAGCACGGUGAUCUUUGGUCAGUGCUGAUCACAGUGCUCACCUCAUUUAGGGUCUGCGAGCGUCGGAUGUGUUAAUUUGAAGCAUUUUAGUUUCAGUGCGCAGUUUUUCGUUGAACUUCGUGUCGCUUGUACGCGUCCUACAGUGGCCGGAAUUGCUCCGAAAGGUGAGCACGGCCUCCGGCACUCCGAGACCUGUCAGUAGGUGUCUCGGUUUGGCUGAAUGACUCCUAGUUGUGUAGACGGACCAUAAAAGCGCCGAAAUCGCAUGAAAUAAUGCGAUUUCGGGUAUUCGGAAGGGCUUUUAUGCAACUUUGAUUCGUUGUGGCUACUGUUGGAAGCAUUUGCGGGUAGUGGGUACCUCUGGACUGAUUGUCCAAGGCCCCCAAGUCCUUGCGGAAAUCGAAAAGUGAUUUCCGGAGCGUUUUUCGGCGAAAUCCGCCGAUAGAACGCGGUUUCGGUUCGGAAUUCUUCCGACGGUUCCUCGUGAGCAUUUCUUGAGUUGCUGAGCCGUGUUGGCUGGUCACUCACGUCAUUUCAGGGGUUUGGAAAUGACGGGUGAGCGACGGUGGGUUCCCUUGUCGAAAUAGACACUCUCGGGAACCCGGAUCCGAACGAUUAUCCGACGAUAAUUGUUUGGAGGCGAGAUUUUGGGAUUGCUGCCAAGACAUCUUAGUUGAUGUGUUUUGUGGCAGCGGGUGACUCAUAUCAUGAGUCGGUGCGUUCCGGGACAUUUUAGUGGUCCCGACGGAGUCCCGGUGCGAUUUUCGGGACUUCCGGCGAGUUACGGUAAUCGGUAUUGGGAAACCGAUCUCCGUGGGAUUGCUUAUGGGUUAUGCUUUUAGGGUUUCUUAGUUGUGGGUUAGACACUAACCCAGUGGACCCUCCUUAGGUCCGGUUGACAUUCUUCUGCAGUCAGGAGACAGGCGCGACAUUUGUACAGGUGGGUACUUCGAUCCGACGUCGGUACAGUGGUGCACGCUCGGUGAUGGUUUCUUACCUUUGCUCUUUCGUUAUUAUCUAGCAUAUAUAUAUCUUGAUAUAUAGUGUUGAGCCUAGCACCAUGUUGUUUAGUUACACUCUACUCGGUUGUUCUCUUUAUAUCAUGAGUAGGAGUAGAGUAGUUAUACCAUAUUUCUUUAUUGCUCUACUUAGCUAUUCUGCAUAUCCUGUAUCAUGUUUAGAGUAGAGCGGUUUCGUGAUUUUAUGUGAAAUCGGUGACCUAGUUGAUUCGUUCUUGUAUCUUAUAUCUGUAUAUAGUCGGUUUGUUCCUUGACUCUUGUUGUUUGAUGACCUUUGAGGUCGGUGUACCCUGAGGGGUAGGAUUGUCGACUAGUGGCCGACGGUAGUUCUAGAUCAUAUACUCAGAUGACUUGUUGACCGAUUCUUGCAUAUAUACAGUAGUUGACUCAUUGAUCAGUAUCUACAUACUGUGGGUAGGAUGUUGAGUUGUUCCAUCCCAGUUGACUUGAUUAGUCAGUAUUUGCAUAUGUUUGAGAGGAUGUCGAUGUUGUCCCAUCCUAGUUGACCUGAGUGGUCGGUUCUUGUGCUUCUUUACAGUUGAUGACCUAUGCGGUCGAUAGGCCCUGGGGGGCAGGAUUGUCGGCUGGUUGCCGACGGUUGAUCAUUGACCAUAUUGCAUUGAUCGCCCGAUACUCGUCGCAUUUCACGAACACUGGCGGUCUGAUCCACCGCAAGGAGUGUUCUUUUCCGGAAAAGUGGUUGAAUGGUGACAACCCGUGAGCCCUAGAGGGGUUAUAUGCAUGUUAGAGCGGCAGUGGUACUGUCGGGAGGUGUUGCGGUGCGGACCUCCAGGGCAUUGGCUUGAGGUCUGCGGUGCUGACCAAGAGAGCAUUGGUUUCAGAUUGGGUACUUUUGGACUGAUUGUCCCAUUGACGCAUAUGUUUAUAGUAGCAGUCGUUGCAUGCAUACUUACAGAUCUUACUUUAUAGUUGUCUUGCUACUAUAGUAGAUAUUCAUGUAUGCUUUCUGUUCCAGUUACAGUAGCGGUAGCCGUUUAUUCAGUAUAGUUCUUACUUCCUUUCAGUUUAUCGCUAUUGUAUAUCUGCUCAUUACCUUGUUUAUUUCCACUGACCCAUGUUGUUGUAUAGUUCUUCCUGAUCCGGUGAGUACUCCUCGCCUUCUUCGGCUUGCGGUACCCACUGGGAGGGGAGACAUGUUUACAUGUUCUCACCUCCCCCACCAUUUUUCAGGUAUCGCGGGCGUUGAGUAGUGGGACGAGACGUGAGGUACGUGUGUAGCGGUCGAUAGAGCUUCCGACCCAGGUUAUUUCGAUUUAGCUAUUACCCUUUUUAUUUCUGUGGAUAUAUAUAGCUUAGUCGGUUUACAUGGUUCAGUUUUGUUUUAUUAUUUGAAUAUCUGAGUUUUCAGUUGGUUUUGGAAUGUAAUAAAGGAAUUGUGUUUUCUUGAAAUAAAAGGUUUUCUACCCCUCGUGGUAGCGUUUCUUAAAGAAUAAAGGUUUCCGUGUAGGGAACAGUUUUCAAAAGAAUUUUCGUGAAUUUCUAUUUAAACACUGAAUGUAAAACUGUGAUGUGAAUGGUGAAUGUAUGGAUGUAUAGUUAUCUUUAUAUUCAUUUGGUUGUGGUUGUUUUCUGGCUAUACUCUUGUACUUGAUCGACGCCGUGCAAAUACAGGGGAGACUCUGUCCGUGUGAACAGUGGAUUCCCUAUAUUUGUGGCGGAUCUGGCAUACCCUGGGGUCAGGUUUGCAAAAAAAAAAAAAAAAAAAAAAAAAAUUUCGCUGUGUUUUUAACCUAAAGGGACCCCGGGGCGUGACAGAUUAAAGUGGUAUCAGAGCGAGGUUACAACCACAACACCAUUCACAGGUUGUUUUGAAAAGUAAAGGAACUGAACCAAAAUAAACUGAACCAUUGGUUAGGUUGACUCUUAGGAAGACCUACGGUGUAUAGGCACGUGAGUGCGGGGUUUGGACUUGUGUCCUGGGUUGCAUUCGAGUUGGGUAAACUCGAAGUGCAUGGUAUUCCUGUAUGUGUUACGGUUCGCACAACUGGUGUCUAAGUCGGGAGUAGUGGCGGUGUACUUUUUCGGACAUCGAGUGGCGGGGCGACGUUCCCCAGGUGUUGCCACCCCUGUCAGAUGGGCCUUGAAGGGCCAGGUGAUCUUCGGGCCUAGGCAAGUAUCUUAACUGCCGACGCCCGGGCCACUCUUCCUUCUUAGGACGCGAGAGCUAUUGCGAGUGUCUCUACGGAGACGGCAAUAUGACCUGUUAGGGUCGCGACUUCAGUGGGGGCUACUAGGGUGUAGCCCAGGGUUUGGAUAGCGGUCGUUUAGGCGACUGUAUUGUUAGUGUUGCUUCCACAGAUCUUUGGGUAGGGUUGUGAUGCCUACCUAUCCUCCUUGAUUGCUGAUUGGAAUCAGCGGUUCGAAUCUUUCGACCUUUACCUCGUUCAUUCUUCCUACCAGAGUCAUAUUGACACAGUUUUAGUGUCAGGUCCCUGUUGGUACAUACAUCGUAUGCGAUUGUUCUAACACCUAAAUUGGUGUCAGGGGAUAGUCGAUGGUUAGUAGGAUCCAUCUUGAUUCGAGAGACUCAAGAUUAUUGUCGGAAUUCUUGGAGCUUUGAUUAUAGUUCGGUUGAGGUGCGAAAAUCUGUUAGAGAAACCAUUUCCUAUCGCCUCAGUUUGUGUAGUUGGCGGCUUAGUGUCGCUAGUAGCUUUCGAAUGUUGAAAGCUUUACGACUCCCAGUGAGUCGGUUUAUAGUCGAUCUGUUUUCGAAUGUCGACUUAUAUAGUUGAUGUUUCGAUAGUAUUGGUUGUGAACUUGUGGUUCAGUGAUGAGGUAUCAAGUGGCUUGAUACUUCGAUGUGUCGCGCUUCCAACUCAUUGUUGGUAGUGAAUCUUCGGAUAUUUCGCUUUUCUUUUGAUAAGUACAUUGGCUGCAGACAAUGUACUGUCAAAAGUUAGGAUGAAAUACCCAUUUCCGGUGUGGAACUUUUGGAUUGGGUUAAUAUUCGCUCUAGCUUGUCUUAGGAGAAGCUUAAGUGAUGACCAUCUUUGACCAUGUAGCGAGCCUUAGAUUAUUCCCUGGCAGGUUUUGCGCAGUUGACUUAUCGUCACUUCUGAUGGUUUUUACUUUGGUCCGAGUCUAGGUGAUCGUUGGUCCUAUUGUUGUGCCUUCCACAGCUAAGAGUUUCUUGGGUAGUAGUCUCGGUUUGUUGUCGUGAGGUUCGAAAUCAGUGAUUGAGUGACUUGAGCCUAGUGGUUGGUCCUUGAUUGUCACCGUAUGUGAUAGCGUAUAAGGUUUGCGACUUGGCCUAGCGUGCAAACCUUGGGUUAGCAUGCUUGUCCGGUCAUUUGGUGACAGGUGCGCUUGGGUCUCAAUGAGACAAGUAAUCGGGUGUUGCUGGGGACAUCGAUCGCUAGGGUCCAUGGUAGGACGACAACGACAGGGUCUUGUGGAGACCAGUGCUGAGCAUUCACCGAUGGUUAGUAUCGCAGUUGCGAUUAGCGACCUGUGCAUCAAGUGAUGGACUUGCGAAGAGCUUUUGGUGGUCUGUUCGUACCGGAUUAAGUUUGAGGGGACAAAAUUGUCUAGCUCAAUUGGUAUUGUCAGUUGGAUCUUUUAGGCAGAUGUAAAGUGAGGUCUUGAACCUAGGGCUAUAGAUUGUGGCAGGUGACCUUUCGUUGAUGAGAUUUUGGCAGUUUGUGUGGUUACUGCUGGAGACUGUGGUCUCUAAGGUGAGAGUUUUGACUCAGGUCUUAGAACAACGUUUCGUUUUCGCUCUUGGUGAGCAGGUUGACGUUGUUGGAUAGUCGGAGUUUUUCGUUUCAGUCUACGUAAAUAGACUCUAGAUUAAAGUGGUUGUUUCGUGACUUUUCUACGUGAACUUGCGACGUAGUCGAAUCGGUUACGGCUAUGCGGACCAAGGUAGAACGGACCUAAAUUUCUGAAUGUUGAUUAAUUAUCUCAGAAUUGGCAAAUUGGAUCGGAAUAAUCCUAGUCGCGGGACUGUCUUUGUCCGCAGGUAUAGAGGUAGUGUUGAUUCCCGGUGAGUUUGGUCGUAGAUUUUGGUUGGUACCGUUUUCCCGUCGAUUUGUCCAGAGUGGACGCAGUCCCAUUUUUUUUCCUCACUUACGGAAGUUGAUAUAUCCAGACUGUAAUUGACGGUACUCAAGAGUGAUAUUGACAGUGGUGGAGAGUAUAUCCGAAAUCUCGAUUUCGGUGGUAUGCUGGUCUAAGUUUCGGGACGAAAACUUUCUUUUUAAGAGGGGGGAUAAUGUUAAGGACUGAGAUUUUUACAGUGCCAACUAAACCUCUGUUGAUUUGAUGUUUAUGUGUGUACAUUUAAUUACAUAGCACUGCGUCAAGUUUCAGAGAAAAAGGAGUAAAACACGAGGAAGUUACGCGAUUAUUAGUUUUCACUUAGUGAAUGUAACUCAGUUUUUUCGGUGAAUCAGGUAGAAGUAGAGUGGCUAUUCACGCGUAAUACGGACUCGUUCAUAGCAUUCCAAUGCGCGUUCGAACCGUUCAGCUAUUCUUCGAACAAUGGCCUGUCGGAUUUUAGUUUGGUAACGCACGAUUCGAGAAAAUCCAAAAUACAUGUUUUAUAUGUAUUUAGUGUUAUUUCUUAUGAUUGGAAAUAGAAGAUUGAUUGUGUCGCUGAUCCGUGGUUGAAUCGAGGGUGAAGCGAAUCACAGCUUUGUUGUCUCCGUCUGUGGCUGAAGCCGAUGGCUGUUCGUUGACUCGGAAAAUCCGAUGGGACGGUUUCAAGAAACGCGCAAAUAUGUUCGCUAAGGGUUCGAGAGUGGAAAUAUCGGGAAAUUCGGCAAAAGGUCUUAAUAUCUUUAUGUCAGUUUCAACGUGAGAUCGCACGUGGAGGGGUUCGCUGCACUUUAUCGUCUAUGAGGGUCGGAAUGAAAUGUUGAGUUUAGAGCGAAUUUCUGCAAAUGGAGGCUUCGUAUUUAAGCUUUUCAUUCUUGGACCCUAACCCUAGCUAGCCCAUCACCUAACGCAGACUAACGCCUCUCCUCCUUUCCUGGAUGCCCGGCUUGUGCCCCAGCCGCCGGCGCACAUUGCGCGUCGCCGGAGCAAGAGGUUUCCUUCUCCUGGAGCUGUAGCUCUCUGCUUCCAUCAUCUCCCUCUAUCUCUCGCUUCUCUCGGGUUGGAGCCCAAGCUGAGGCUACAGGGCCUGCACCGGCGUCGCCUGUGCCCGGCACAACUCUCCCGCCGACCGCCGCCGUGCCGUGGCGCCGCUGCCUUGAUGCGCCAGCCAACAGCUGCCAGCCUGGGCCGAACUUUAGGCGAGAUAUGUUCGCGACCUCCUCCCGCAGUCGACGGCUGCCUGUACUCUCGCGACGUCACGCGUAGCACCCGGCAUCCCUCCCGUACGGCCGCGCCGCCUCUGCUGCCGCCGCCGGGCCAGCGGCCGCAGGAGCCGCCCCUCAGACCGUAUCGUGGCGGGCGAAAUCGCCGCCAUCCCUGCGUCGCCGCGCGUGGGCCAACCCGAGGUAUCUCCGGCUCAGGCAAUCUUCUGUCGGUCUGGAGCUCCGCGGCGCGGCCGUGCCGCAUGCCCGCGGAACCCUGAGCCUGAGCUGUGCGGGUUGCUUGCUCCUGCCAUCGCCGCCGCCUCUCCGUUCACCUGAGGUUGAGCCGCCAUGCUCCUUUCCCUCCCGCACCCAAUCUGGGCCACGCGCGCGUGCUUGCGGGAAGCCUGCCGGAGCAAGUUGUCGGCCAAGCCGAAAUAGGGUUGUUCUAGUUUAGAUGUUUACUGUUAUGAGCUUUCCCGAGCCUCCCCCGAUCUUACGGAAGGAGAGAUGAUCCGGCAAGUUUAUGAUCAUCGGUUGCUCACUUGGUUUUUCUGUCGGAAGCCCCGUUUCGUGCUUUUUGCCGGUGUCGACCCUGUAGAGCUUUUUGGCUGUUGUUCUGUGUUUGGUGCGUGUUUUCCGGCAAUCGAAGCUGUCCUGGAUGCUCCGGAGGUGAGCACGGUGAUUUGGUCAGUGCGUCAUAAGUUGCUCACUCAUUUUAGGGUCUCGCGGCGUGAUGUGUUAAUUUAGCAUUUUAGUCUUUCAGUGCGCAGUUUUUCGUUGAACUUCGAUGUCGCUUGUAACGGUCCUACAGUGCGCGGAAUUGAUCGAAAGGUGGAGCACGGCCUCCGGGCACUACCGACCUGUCAGUAGGUUGUCUCUGUUUGGACUGAAUGAUGCUAGUGUAGUAGAUACGGACCAUAACGCGCCGAAAUCGAUUGAAAUAAUGCGUUUCGGUCGUAUUCGGACAGGGACUUUUUAUGCAACUUUGAUUCUUGUGGUACUGUGGAAGCUUUGCGGGUAGUGGGUACCUCUGACUGUUUGUCCAGGGCCCACAGUCGCUUGCCGGAAUCGAAAGUGGAUUUUCCGGAGCGUUUUUCGUAGCGAAUCCCGAUGUAGAACGCGUUUCGGUUUCGGAAUUCUUCCGACGGUUCUCUAAGUGAGCUUUCUUUGAGUCGCUGGCCUUGUUGGCUGGUCACUCAUGUCAUUUCAGGGGUUGGAAAUGACGGCUAUUCUAAUACCGGCCGAUGUGAGCUGACGGUGGUUCGGUGUCGAAAAUAGACCUCUCGCGGAACCGGAUCGACGAUUAUCGACCGAUAAUUGUUUGGAGGCGAGAUUUUAGGAUUGCUGCAAGACAUCUUAGUUGAGUGUUUUGUGGCAGUGGAGUGACUCUAUCAUGAAGUCGGUGCUUCGGGACAUUAACUUUAGUUGGUUCCGACGGAGUCCCUGUGCCGAUUUUCUGGAUUCGGCGGUUACGCGGUAAAUCGGUUAUUGAGGAAACGAUCUUCCGUGGAUUGCUUAUGGAUUAUGCUUUUAGUUGUUUUACUUAGUUGUUGGGUUAAGCACUACCCAGUGGACCUGCUUAGGUACGGUUUACUUCUUUGCAGUCAGGAGACAUGGCGCCGACAUUUGUUACAGGUGAGUACUUCGGAUCACGUCCGGGUCCUACAGGUGGUGCACGCUCGGGUAUGCGUUUCUUCCUUUAUUGCUCUUUCUGUAUAUUAUCUAGCAAUUAUAUAUCUUGAUUAUAGGUAGCUAGCCACAUGUUGUUUCAGUUACACUAUUCGGUUGUUGCUCUUAUAUAUCAUGGAGUUAGGAAGUAGCAGUAGUCUACCAUAUUUCUUUAUUGCGUACUUAGAUAUUCUGCAUAUCUUGUAUUAUGUUAGAGAUAGAGCGGUUUCGUGCUUUAUGUGAAAUCGGUGAGCUAGUUGUUUUUUUGUAUAUAGUAUAUCUGUAUAUAGUCGGUUUGUUCCUUGACUCUUGUUGUGUUGAUAACUUUGAGCGAGUGUACCUGAUGGGAUCUUAGAUUGUCGACUAGUGGCCGACGGUAGUUUUAGAUCAUAUACUCAGAUGACUUGUUGACCGAUUUUGCAUAUAUACAGUAGUUGAGCUCAUUGAUCAGUAAUUACUCUGUGGUAGGAUGUUGAGUUGUUCCAUCCCAGUUGACUUGAUUAGUAGUAUUUGCUUAUGUUUAGAGAGGAUGUCGAUGUUGUCCCAUCUCAGUUGACCUGAGUGGUCGUUCUUUGCUUUCUUACAGUUGAUGACCUAUGCGCGCUCGAUAGGCCCUGGGGGCAGGAUUGUCGGCUGGUUUGGCGACGGUUGAUCAUUGACCAUAUUGCAUUGAUCGCUCCGAUACUCGUCGCAUUUCACGAACACCUGGCGUCUGACUCACCGCAAGGAGUGUUCUUUUUCGAAAGUGGUUGAAUUGUGACAACCGUGAGCCCCCUAAGGGGUUUAUGCAUGUUUAGCAGGGACGUGUAUUGUAGGAUGUUGCGGUGCGGACCUCAGGGCAUUGGCUUGAGGUCUGCGUGCUGACAAAGAGACAUUGGUUUCAGAUUGCGUACUUUUGGAUGAUUGUCCAUUGACGCAUUAUGUCUAUUGUAGCCGGUGCUUGCAUGAUACUUACAGAUCUUACCUUAUAGUUGUCUUGCUAUAUAGUAGAUAUUCAUGUAUUUUAUGUUCUAGUUACAGUGAGGUAGCGUUUAUUUCAGGUUAGUUGUUACUUCCCUUCAGUUUAUCGCUAUUGUUAUCUGUCUUACCUUGUUUAUUUCCACUGACCGUGUUGUUGUAUAGUUCUUCUCUGAUCCGGGAGUACUCCUCGCCUUCUUCGGUUGCGGUACCACUGGGAGGGGAGACAUGUUUACAUGUUCUCACCCUCCCCCAUUUUUCAGGUACGCGGGCGUUGUGUAGGCGGACGAGACUGAGAGUACGUUGUAGCGGUUCAAUAGAGCUUCCGACCCUAGGUUAUUUCGAUUUAGCUAUUAUCCUUUUUAUUUUUGUGGAUUAUAUAGCUUAGUCGGUUUACAUGUGUCAGUUUUGUUUUAUUAUUUUGAACAUCUGAUUUUUCAGUUGUGUUUGCGAAAUGUAUAAGGAAUUGUGUUUUUUUGAAAUAAGGUUUUCUACCCCUCGUGGUAGCGUUUCUUAAAGAAUAAAGGUUUCCGUGUAGGGAACAGUUUUCAAAAGAAUUUUCGUGAAUUUCUAUUUAAACACUGAAUGUAAAACUGUGAUGUGAAUGGUGAAUGUAUGGAUGUAUAGUUAUCUUUAUAUUCAUUUGGUUGUGGUUGUUUCCUGGCUAUACUCUUGUACUUGUGCGACGCCGUGCAAAUACAGGGGAGACUCUGUCCGUGUGAACAGUGGAUUCCCUGUAUUUGUGGCGGAUCUGGCAUACCCUGGGGUCAGGUUUGCAAAAAAAAAAAAAAAAAAAAAAAAAAAUUUCGCUGUGUUUUUAACCUAAAGGGACCCCGGGGCGUGACAAGGAACAAAUUUUUUCAAUCUGAAAAAUUUUUUCUGGCAUAUUUUCUAAGGAAUCAAACAGGUCCUACAUAUCCCUAAAUAUGUAAAAUGUGAAAAGCUUGAAAAAAAAAUUACAAUGAUGGCAAAAUGGAAAAAGAUAUUUACUUACAGUGUCCCAACAACUUGAGCGGUGAUUGCCCGAGUUUGGUCCUCUCCAACAAGCCUAGCCAGACCGAAGUCGGAAAUUUUAGGAUUCAUGCCAGCAUCUAAUAAAAUGUUGCUUGCCUUCAAAUCCCUAUGAAUAAUUUUUAGUUGGGAAUCUUCGUGCAGAUACAGUAGUGCUCGAGCUAUUCCAUUGAUGAUCCUGCACCUCUCGCCCCAUUUGAGUUGUUCUUUCUUCUCGGAAUCUUUUCAAAUUAAAGUCACCCCAAAUUUCAGAAAAAGAUAGUAACCGGUCAAAAUGCUAUUAAAUGUGCUUCUUUUCCAUUUUUAGGGUGAGGCUUAGAGAAUGACUAAAUGAAGGUAAAUAUAAAAUAACCAUCACAAAAAUAUAGUUAAUGAUGCAAAAUCAUAUUCAAAGAGGGUCCGUCAAGUCAUCUUUUGUUUAUUUACUCAAUUUUUUGUAUUAUGUUUGAUUGAGUCGUUUAAGUUUUAAUUUUUUUAAUUUUUAGAAUUAUUAUUGUUGUUAAUUUAUUUUAGAGAUUUGUUUUAUUUUUUAGGAUUUAUCAUGUGAAAUAAAUACAAAAAAAAUUAGUAAUAUAGUUUAUGAUUUUUUUUUAGAUUUGUCCAGAUUAGAAAAUAUCCCUAAAAUUGUGGAAUUAGUUGUAGAUUAGGAUUAUAGUUUGAUGGCUAUAAAUAUGUCUUAUAAUUUUAAAGAUCAGUUAUGGUGGAAUAAAAUUUUGAUUUUAUAUUGAAACUGCUGCCAUGGUAUCUUCUUUUUUUCUUUUGCCAUGUGACUGGUGAAAAUUAUGUCUCUAAAUGGUCUUUCUUUAUUUUUUUAAUAAUUUUUUUCCAUUUCUCGUUUUUUUUAAUCCUUAUUCUCUAAUCUUUUCAAAAUUAUUAUAAAAUUUUUUGAAAAAUUCUAAAAUUUAGUUUUCUUUAUAUUUUGAGCUUAUUACUAGUAAGAUAAAUUAGAAGUUUCCUAAUCUAUCAUGCAUCAGUUUAGACAUGUUUAAUUUUGUCAGAGCUUCUCAUUAAAACAACUCCUGAUAGCUUCUUAGUACAAAAGAAUUAAAAAUUUUAAUUUAGAACUUCUGCUUUGGGGAUCUAGAAGCUCACUUUAGCUUUACGUAAUAGCAAAACUACGGAUUUAUUAUUUGAUGAUCACCUUGCUUGUACUUUUUGAAGAAGAGAAGCUGUUUUAAUCACCUGCGUAAAAAGGUACUGGGCUCCUUUAAAAGGUUGAGAGGAAAAGUGAAGGAAGUGUUACCAAAUAGAAUGGUGUCUAGGCUUCUUUUAGGCACAUAUUCAUAGACAAGUAGCUUCUCCUGCUCCUCCAAGCAUACACCAAGUACCCUUACAAGAUUCUUGUGUUGAAGUUUGGCUACAAGGACAAUUAAGCUCAUUUUUUAGAUCCUCAAUUCCUUGCCCGGAACUUCUUGAUAGUCUCUUUACUGCUAUCUCACGCCCAUCAUGUAGGAUACCCUGUGCAAGUUUAGAAAUUUAGCAAAAAGGUCUAAAUCACAAAAGAUACAUGCAUAUGCAAAGCUCUUCUUUAUAACAGUUACAUCUCAUAGUAUGUACCCUAAACUAUUCAUAUUGUGCCAUGUGAGAUAAUGAAGAGUUUGAUCAAUUGACAUAUCGUAAUUUAUUAUGUUUAAAAGAUGUUUUUGAAAAAAUUCUUUUUGUACUUGUGUACUAUAUGGAGGCCUCUAAUUAGAUGAUGUUAUUGCUAUGCGGAAUAGCUAUAACAGAGAAGCUUUUCCUAACCCCUGCGGUACCUGAAAAUAAUGUUGCGAUUAGAUGAUGCUAGGAUUUGUCUAAAAAUAAUGCGUCAUGGUACCUUAUAAACAGCACCAAAUCCUCCUUCGCCAAGUUUAUUGACUUCGUCGAAAUUAGCAGUUGCAGCUCUUAGUGUUGGUAGAUCAGUAAGGAGUGACUCAACACCUGUGAUCGCCUCUGGAGUUGUUUCAUCUGUUGAAGUAGGAUAGAUAAAGAUUUUAUGUGUGUAUCAUGUGCAUCAAGGAUAUAAGUGCCGAGGGCUGAGCUCAUCCUGAGUACUUGCCGAUAUGGUACAAUAUAGUGUCGUGUUGUGCCUUGUUUUGUCAUGCCGAUAUGUACUACUAAGAUAGUACCUACGUGCUAAUACACUUUAGCAUGAAAAAUUUAUAUUUUUUGGCACAUGUAUAUUCUUUUGUCAAAAUUUUUACAUUAUAUUGACAUAAUUAUUUGUCAAUUUUGAAAAAAGAGAAAGCACAAGACUGUGUUGUGCCGAUAUCUUGCCGGCAAGGUAUGACAUGAUAAGCAAGCCUCAUAUCGAUGGCCACUUAAAUUCUUGAUAUACAUAUGUUUGAAUGCAUGCGUGUUCUUCUACGUGCUCGUGUGUGUGUGGUUGCGCCAAACAUUUGUCGGCACCGCAUGGCAUAUUUUCAUGCCGCACUUACCAACUUGUGUUACUGACAUAACACUUUCAGAAUCAUAAAUUUCUUUUCUUUGGCACCUAUGAUACAUUUUCUACCAAAUAAUUUUUGUGCUCUAUAAAUAUAAUGACUUGGUAACUUUAGAAAGCUAUUUUGAGCCGUGCACAGUAUGUAUCGAAUAGCAGAUACUAUAGAGAAGAAAAGAUUAGAUGAGGCCUGUGAGUCGAUGCGUGCUAAGAACUGUCCUAGAUGUGAGAUUGCCCUUCCACGUGUGAAGCUCUGGCAAUCACUCCUAGAUAUACAACGAUUACUGUCCACCCCGUCAACACAUCUUCAGGGUGGUGCAAUAUGAAUCCAACAAGCUUUCAGAGAUCCAGCAAAGUAUCAAAAGCUCAGUGCAAAAGAGAGUUCAAGUUCAAUAUAAAGAAGAGAGAAAGAAGAAGUCUUGAGCCAAUUUCAUGUACAACCCCUUAAAACCCCAGUGCACCUAUCCUCUCUUCUAUAUGUAGAUAGGAGAUCACGAUAGGGUCCAACGGUGUAGAUAGGAGAUAACGGUAGGGUCCAACGGCUCUUUCUCGGGUAAGCCGUUGGCCCUAUCCGAGGUGAUGGAUACGGUAUCUUAUCAAAAUAGGGUAAAAUCUGGGCAAAGAGACCUUAUCGCGGUAAGGUAAUGAUUGAGCUUUAAAUACAGAAUCUCAAAAAAAAAGAAAAAAAAAAAAGAAAAAGGGUAAGUGAACUAGGUAGCCUGGACCACGGACGCGCUACUGCCUAGCCCGGCUUGACUCAUGCUCGUGCUUAUGUCGUGCGUGUGUUUAGUCAAGAGCAUCACUCUCAUAUUCAGGUAAAACCCCUUAUAACCCCAGUGCACCUCUUAAUUCUCUCUUCUAUAUGUAGAUAGGAGACAAUGAUAGGGUCAAGCGACUCUUUCUCAGGUAAACUAUUGGCCCUUAUCGAGGUAUUGGAUACGGUAUCUUACCGAAAUAGGGUAAAAUCUGGGCAAAGAGAUCUUACUGAGGUAAGGUAAUGAUUGGGCUUUAAAUACAAAAUCUCAAAAAAAAAGAAAAGAAAAGAAAAGAAAAAGGGUAAGUGAACCAGGUAGCCUAGACCACGGGCGCGACAUCGCCCGGCCCAACCCAUGUCGUGCGUGUGUUUAGUCCAGAAUAUCACUCUCAUAUUCUUUAAGAAUGAAGAAGUAUAUAUAUAUAGCAUCAACAUGUCUUUUGUUUUCAAUGUAGGAGGAAUCUUCACAUGUAAAAAAUUUAGCACGGGCUCUCAGGUAAGGAUCAUAGGAUAUUGGGCUACCUAGAAAGUGUGAUACCCCAAUAGUCCCACAUCGGAUAGUUAUGGCUAGAUGUGGGAGUAUAUAAGCUUGAUUGGGCUAGACAUAAUAACUGGGGUAAAGCAUUUUGGGCCGGUGGUAUGGGCCUAACGAGUUAUUAUUGCUAGCGGAUCAGGUCAUUACAUUUGGUAUCAGAGCCAGUUCACCAGCUGGAAGUAUGAGAUGAGUCUUGGCUGAGCCAAGGUCGGAAAGACAGACUAAGGCAGGGUCGGUGAUUGACAGGCUAAGUCAGGGUCGGAAUGACAAAGGCCAGCGAGACAAGUCUCAUAUCGCCUGGUGAUCUUGGGCUGUGUGUGUGUUUAGGGCUGACGAGGACGUUCCACAUCGGAUAGUUAUGGCUAGAUGUGGGAGUAUAUAAAUUUGAUUGGGCUAAACAUAAUAAUUGGACUUAAGCAUUUUGGGCCGGUGGUAUGGGCCCAACGAGUUAUUGUUGCUAGCGAGUCAGAUCGUUACAGGAAGCCCAUGAAGUUUUAAAUCACAAAAAUCCCAAUUAAUACUAAGACAGGUGCCAUUGUUUGCAUAGUCUAGAUGAGCUCUUCACCAAAUAGCUAUAUGUAUAGUCGGAUAGCAAUAGAAGGCAUUCAUGCACUAGUCACUUACCUAGUACCGGUUGUCUUGUUGCUGAUCUCCUCCUCUUCUUCCACAUGGCGCGAUUGUGGAGAGCAGCUACAAUAGCUAAAGGAAUGCUAAUUGAAAGAAUUAAUCCUAUAUGUGUGGUCUUCUUCUUCUUCUUACCUGAAAUUUUCAUAUUACCAUACCAUUAAAAAGCCUAUCAUAAAGUAACAAAAUAAAUUAUAAAAGAAGAAAAUACGACCGUUAGUCUGCAAGAUGGAUGCAUGUUAAAGUAGUUCAUCUCUUUAUAGUGUGUGUCUUAUUGACAUAAGUGGGAGUAUUGGAUCUUGUUUAGUAUUGUUGCCCUUUUUUAAUUUUUUUUUAAAACAAAAAUUUUAUGUGAUUGGACUCGAAGGGGUUGGAUUUCACUGUUUUUGUCAUUGUUGGUUAGCUUGCAAUGUGCCUACCUAGACAGAAAACAUCUUCUCCAACAAAAAUUUGAAAAGAAGCUCCAAUUCAAGACAUCUGAUUCUAUUCCGAAAGGAAUUACUUAGUUAGGGUUUCUCAAUAUAGCGCUUCUACUAAUAAUAGUAUCCAAGCAACACUUUUCUAGCGCGGGUGACAAAGAGGUUGGUCGUUGGCAUUCGAGGUGUUAAAUUCGAAGUCUAGUUAUGUAACAUUUUUAGCUAAUUUUAUCAAUUAUUUGUAAUGAAAAUCAGUUACUCCCUUACCUUCUUCUGUAGCUGGAAUAAUUGCUGGAGGAUUUUCCGCAGGUACCGGCAUUGGCGCUGGCGUGUUCACCAUCGGAUGAGCAAGUCUUAGCGUAAGCGCCUCAUAAGAGAAGGAGGCCAAUUCAUACCUGAUACUGCAUCUCACUCCGAGAAUCCACCCACUUUGCUCCCGUUGAAAUAACUCGACAUCUCGCCGAUUAGCCCCUGCAGGCACUGCCAACACUCCACUGCCGUCAUAUCUGGCGUGCAUUGCGCCAACCUGUAAAAUGAUAAUAUCAGUAUACAGUAUCUAGCAGCUUCAGAUCUAGAUUCUAUGAGAAAAUAAUGUUUAAGUACAAUAUUAAAAUAGGAGAUCUUGAGUUCAAAAUCUAGCCAACAUCCAUUUGAUGCAAAUUCUACUUUUUAGGCUUGUUAAAUGUCUCAGCCUAUCUAGAGCAAAAUCAUACAGCCAUUGAAAUAUAACACUUUCAGAAUGAGUCCAUGAACUUCAAAUUUUCUAAUUUUAGUAUCUAAUCUAUCAUAAAUUUUGAUUUCACGCCUCACCUGGUGGUGAAAUUCUUUUUUGUUUAUUUCAAUUCAACUUUUUUCCUUCAAAUUUAUUUGGAUAUUUGAGUAAAACCUUACUUGUUUUCCUAGAAUAAGAAAAUUAUAUAACAAGUAUCUCCGCAAAUAAAUGAUUAGCAUCUCUAACAAUUUGGUUUUGAUACUAUAUAAAGAAACAUAAAACAACUGUUGUUUUUAAAAACUUAAGGAGCUGUUUGCUUUUUAUGAAAAAUAUAUUUUCUAGUUUUUCGUAUGUUUGGUUCCCAAAAUAAUUUAACUUUUUUGAAUUUUUUUUUCAAAUUUUAUGAAAAACUAUUAUUUUUAUUUUUCGAAAACAUUGGAAAGCAAUCUUCAAUAAAAAAAAGUUUUCAAGGAACUAAUUUUGUUUAGAAUCAAACAGGCGAAAAGCCAUAAAAAAAAUAAUGUAUUCAAUAUUUAUAUUCAGUACUUUCUCUUACGUCUCUCCCACAGCUUAAAACACGAACCCAUAUAUCGGUGGUACCUCCGCCGUAGAAUUCGCCACCGACGUUGCGAACCUCUGCGUCGUGUUGUAUGCCGCCCAGGCGGCCGUCGUGUUGACCAACCUUGUAACGAUUUUAUUGAACAAAUGGGAAUUUUCCCCGACCUUGCCGGGGUUCACGAAGAUCACUUGCUUCGAGUUGUCAGAGGAGGAAUUUAGGAAGUGCAGGUUAGAGUAGCGAAUGAGGCAGUAAUCGUACCUACAAAGGAAAAAAAACAUAAAAAAAAAAAGAAAAAAAAGUGUGUAUUAAGAUGAAACCAGGGAGAUAGCAAAGAUAACGGAAUCGCCGCCACCGAAUCACUGUAGUUUAUUUUAAGGGCUCUGUUUGGUUUUGAGGCCUAUCUAGCGUUAACGGAGAAGACUGAAUUAAGAUAAAAAUAGAUAAAGAUUCAUAAAUAAUUAAAUGUAAUAUUACAUAUAAAAAUAAAUAGAAUAUUUUUUACUGUACUUUUUUAAUAAAAGCAUUUAUGUCUCUCGACAAUUACAAAUAAAGCCUAGGUGUCCCUUGGGUUAACAAAAAAAUAUGAUAAGAGGAGAUUUUUUAAAAGCGCUAUUUAGAAAGUAAGCACUGAUCUCUUUAUAUUGUUUAAAUUUAAAAAUGUUACUUUUUUCUUAUUUUUAUAUAUUCAAUUUUGUCAAAAUAAGUUAAUAUAUACUCAGCCAUUAUAUUUGAAAAAAUAAAAUAAAAUUAUAGAUUUAUUGAUUAAAGUGUAGGGAUUGAAAAAAAGAGCAGUUAAGUGAUGUAUUUGAUCAGAAAUAAUAACAAUACAGAAUAUAAAUUAAAAAGUCUGUAAACUAUUGAAAAGCACGGAUUGAAAUAAUUAAUCCUACAUAUUCUACCAAAUAUAGUUAAAUUUAAUAGAAAUAAUUUAUUCUAAUUAAAGCAAAUUAUUUCAGAUUAUUCCGCAUGCUAAUAUUCCUCCUACGUCUGGAAUAAUCAUACUUAUCUUUCUGACUGUCCACUAUAAAAAAAAAAAAAGGUCCUUUACCAACGCUUUUUAAAUCACUUAUCAACCCUAUAAAGCGUUGGCAAAUUAGCCUUAUUAUCUUGGUUGCGACGUGCAAAAGCGUCGGCAAAUUAUAUUCUCUUAGCCUACUUUUAAUUUUGGUGACGCUCCAAAGCGUCGGAAAAGUAAUAAAAUAUAAACCCUUUUCUUAUUGGCGACUCUUUAUAGCGUCGGCAUAAUAGAUAAUCUGUAUUAUUAUUACUAGCUAGUGACAUCUUUGUGCGUCGGCAGUUCAUUUUAAUAUAUAUUUAUUUUUAUAAUUUUUUGUAAAAGUAAAAUUUACUGUUCAGUUUAUUCAACAAAAGCUAAAAUCUACUAUAUUUCAUAAACAAUUAUAAUCAAAAUAUUAAUGACAAACAUAAUAUACAACUUAUAUAAAAAAAAUAUAAGUAGUUAAAAAAUAUAAACUUCAUCUCAAUGUAUUUACUCGACUUUCACCAAUAUAUCUAUGUUGUACUUAAUUUUUUUUACUAUUCUUUACUUUUUUUUCUUAGAAAAGUUAAACAUAAUUUUGAUUAUCUCAGAGAUUCUAUUUUUUUCAAAAAAAAUCAGAUUAAAUACAAAUUUGUUUUUUCUAUAUUUCUCGCUAUUCUAAAAUAUUAAGUUAUUUUAAAACUAAAAAUACUUAUUUAUCCUUUAAUUAAAUAUAUAAAACGUUAUUAAUUUCUUUACCACACCACCCUGAAAAUACGUCAACCAAGUGAUGCUCACAACUACCAGACGACGGCGUCCUUGUCGUAGGGGCAGAGGUCGAGGACGUCAGCGGCCCCGGCGCCGAGGCAGGAGCUGCAGGCGGAGGCGUUGACGUCGCCGCGGCAGAGGGCGAGACCAGAGACCUGGUCGGGGGGCUGACCGGCGACGCCAGCGAAGAAGCCGCGGGAGGCAUCGGCGAGGAGGGAGGAGAGCAUGAGGUUGAGGUUGGAUCGGUAGGUGCUGUUCGCGGAGUAGACGCCGGUGCCGCUGCACAUCUUGUAGCGAGAGGUGCCAGCGGCGGCGCCGGGCGAAGGAGAAAGGAGGAGGAGGAGGAGGAGGAAGGAUAAGAUCAAGUAAUUCUUGGGUGCCAACAUAGUAUGAGAUUGAGAUAUACGUACGUACAACAGGAUUUCGCAGGAUAUAUAUAUAUCGAGGAGAUGGUUUGUUCACAGCGCGCGGCAUGCAGGACGGGAGAGCGGCUUGGGAGAGAAAGAUAAGAAAAUGCUGCAGUCGCAGCAGUUGAGGACUAGGAAUGUUACUUGAAGCAUUGCUUGCUUGGUUUGGCCUCUCAUNCGUUUUACCGUACGCAAUUUUCUAACAGUGGUAUCAGAGCCAUCCUCAUGUUUUUAAGAUUAAAAUUAUAAAUUUGGGUAUUCUAAACCGUUUUUCCACCGGUAGAACGAUUUAUCGAUCGUUUUUUACUAAUUCGAAAAGAUCAAAGUGAUCAACAAUUUAAUCGAACGGUUUCCUAUUUUCAAGCAACAAAAAAAAAAAAAAAAAAAAAAAUUAAAAAAAAAAAAAAAAAAAAAACAAAGGAGACUAUCAGCAUAAUCCACAUAUCCGGUCAAUAAAUUUUCAGCAAAAACUGAAAGUAAUUUCUACAAACAAAAGCUUUUGUUCUUCUACCGUAGAGAAAAUCAUGGAAAACAUUGCGUAAGCAAAAUUGUUCUUUUCUUUUUUUUCCUUGGGUAAGGAAAAUUGAGAUGUGAAAUACAUACGCAUAACAAAAUAAUAUAAUGUUUUAUGCAACAAUAAAGAAACAAACCAGCCAAUAGUUUGGCUCGCCUUCCACUAUUGAUAAAGAAACCCAAACUGUAACUACUUGGUCAUGAAAUGCAACAUACUAACAAAGAAAGAAAGCAAACUAUUGAACAUCAAAAUAUAAAAAUAUUAUUUUUCUAAUAGUUUAAGCUUUUAGAGAAUAAUGAUUAUUUCGCAUUAUUUGACAUGAUAUCAGAGUAGAAAAUCCUGAGUUCGAAUUCCACCAGACUUAUACCGUUAUUUAAUUUCUUCCCAUUUAAUUAAGCCUACGUCUUGGGCCUAUAAAAUGUAUUGAGUCCAAAUGUUGGGGGCGCGAGGGUGUUGAGCAUAAAAAAAAUAUAAAAAUAUCGUUCUAUAAUAACUAAAGCUCUGAGAGAAUAAAAAUAUAAAAUUUUCUUGCUCUAAACAAUAGAAAAUACAAGUAAAAUGACUACUUCUCAGACCACACACUGCAUUCUUCUUGUAAAUGAAUCCUUUUUACAUCAUAAUUAACUUAUCUAGCAAGAGAACCAGAGAAAGAAAACAUCUAUAUGGAGCAAAAAUGGAUUACUUCAAGCCUUUAGAUAGACACUUAAUAACAGCUAGAAGUGAAGCGAGAAAUCUUCACCAUAAUUGGUUAAGCAAUCUAUUUAAUCCAUUAAUGUAUUAAUCCCUAAAAUGGAUGAUGAUGGCUUCAUUACUAUUGCAUAUUUAACAAAUAAAAGAGAAAAAGGCGCGAGCAAAUCAGAGGUAGUCAGCAACAAAUUUACAUGCAUGCAUGUAAACAGCAUCAUUAAACAAAAUACCUUAAACAAUAAAAUAAUAAUACAUCUGACUUGAAAUAAAAAUAUGCCUGCAUAGAGUUCACUUGUGUAUUUACUAAUAACAUCACUUAAGCAUGUGGUCAUACGUAGUUUCUUGGUAUAAGGAAGCCAACAAACCUUGCUCAAGCAAAAUCCACUUUUUCAAUGACCACAAUACCCAAACUUUCUAAACUUAAUCAGUCAAGUAACCUACUUUAUCAGCUAAUUAUUUUCUUAAUUAUACUGAAAUAAAUCUUUAGACUAUCUUUGAAUUUGCACAAUAAAUACAAUUCUAUAGAUUUGAAUAGGAAAAAGGCUAUAUACCAGUAAAAGACCAUCAAGUCAAAUGAUAAAAUAAGUCAAACCCAAGAAUUUUAAAGUUGCAUGUAAAAUAAUUUCAAAAUCAUAAUUCGUCUUUCUAUUGAAAGCGGUUGUAUUAAACAGAAAAAGAUGAAUCUCAGCAUGUAAAAUUUGAAUUAAUAUUAAAUCAUACUUAUAAAAACUAACACACAAAAUAUUACCCACAUAGAAUAAGUCCUCUAGAAGUUUUAUCUCUUAGCAUUCUUUUUUUACAAUGAUUGAUUGAGUUUUCUAUUCAAAACAAAGUAUAAUAAAUCACUCGUAAAAGGCACUUAAAUUAAACAAAUUCACUAUGAGAUCCCAUAGGUAAAGAUCAAAUCCUAGAUCGAUAUAAAGUAAAUAUUCGGGAUUUAAAAACAAAAAAAAGAAAAUUAUGAUUAGGGUUUUCCGUUUCCAAUACUUACCUCCUCGAUUCUUACAUGAUCGUGGUCCAAUUAGCAUCUGCUAUCGAAAAAGUUGUUAGAUUAGCUGCUUCUUCCAAAAGUCUGAAGAGAUCGAUGUAGAAAGAAACCCUAGAAGCGAAUCGAGACCAAGGAUGGAGAUAGAGCUCCAGCAACAUCGAAAACGAAAAACGGCAGAAACAAUGAGGCAGAGAAGAAGGCGUAGGGGCAGGGGGGAUGGAGCAUGAGGAGGCGGCGGGAUGUACAAUUAAAAAUAGAAGAACACAAAGCUGUUGUUGUUUUAGCUUGCCUUUAAUCCUGCCCCAUUUUUUACUCUGUUAACCUGCAAAAUAUUAUAAAUUAGUUCGCGCCGGAAAGUUUAAAUAUAAACAGUUUAAGUUUUCAAAGAAAAUUAUCUCUGUUAUUUGUUUCUAAAUCAUCAAAAUCGAAUUUACAAACUAAGUUUACAGAAAAAACAGGUCGUUAAAUUUACAUUACUGAGACUGCUAUAAGCAUUCGGCGAGUGACGUUCAUGGGGAUGCUUAUUGGGUGGCGGCAGUCAGCAAGACUGUGCAAUUUUCCAGUGAACCCCACUGCGGCGAUGGUGUCAUUAUAAUAGGGGAGUUGAGGAAGAAAAGGAAACUAACACAGAAAACAUUACCUAUAUAGAAUGAGUUCAUAUGCUUUCUUCAGGGUUCCGCCCACCCCUUGGGAGGGUCAUUCAACACCAAAUUUGUGCCAUAUGCCCUUAUGACGACCUUCCUCCCCACGCUCGUGUACGACGGCAUGGAGAUCACAAUCUUGUACCUUUUCAGAGCCGCCAUAAAUGAUAUACCGAUCCUUAUGUUUCCCCAUGUUGGCUUGAUCAACAUCAUCUUCUCCAAACUCGCCGAUUCCUCUCUCUCAAUAGGUUUUUUCAUAUCACCCAAUUUACGACAAAAAAGACAAAAUUCUAAAAAUAAAAAAAAAAAACUUAAGCAUAAUCACCGUUAAUGGAGGAUCGAAAUCCUAGCAACAAAUCUAAUACAAACCAUAAUAGAGAAAUCUAAUGCAAAAGACCCAAGUCUUGAAGCCUUAAUUGACUAAAACAUAUUAUAACAUAAAUCUAAAUAAUGAAGAUAUAGAGAGAAAGGAAUGGGCAAGGAGCAAAACCUUAGAGUUUGGAGAAGAAUUGGAGAGUCGCAGUAUUCAUUGAAGCCUCAAAAGCGCGGCAUCGAAGGCGACAGAGGAGCCUAGCGUUUUGACAGAGCACACGGGCUCCCUCCCCUCGCCUCUUCCACGACCUUCCCCUCGCCUCCCUCUUCUUCCUCUUCUCCUUCUCCACUCUCUCUCUUGGCCUUUUCACCCUCUUCGACGGCCUAUGGUAGCGUCGCAAAGGCGAAGGAGGUGAGAAUGCAGAGGCGGAGAUGGAGGCUCCUAUCCGAGUGGGAGAGGCGGCGAAGGCGAGAAAUCUAGGAUCACAAUUAGGGUCGGCGGAGUGUGAGAUGAGGGUGAGGGCUACGGUGAGGGCUACGAAGAGUCGGAGUUAAAAACGAUGCCACCGUUUCGCGGUGUGGUGGACUCACACGAACCGUUUUGCUGUGGGGUGGAUUCGUCUGUCCAUUAAUUAAGCAUUAGGCUGAUAAUAAAUAUAUAAGAUGGGUCCCAUAUCUAUAAGGUUUAAGUAAAAAUUUGACACGUGAAUUUUCCCACGGGGAUUAAUAUAAGUUUAUAGAAGAUUAGUACAUUUUUUACCAGUUAUUAAAUAGAAACCAUAAGGAAAGGCUGUAAAGUACUUUUUCUGAGACAACAUAAUGCAUUUUAGUAAAAAAAAAAAAAAAAAAAAAAUAUUGAUAAUGAAUGCUAUGCACCUUGUAUUACGGAGAAGAGCCCAAUACUAUUUUAUCAUACUAUAAAAAGAGGAAGAAUCCAAAAGGAAGAAGAAAAAGAUAGAGAAGUUGAAGAAGACGAUGCGAAAGAUGCAGACAGGAAAAAGAAGCACCAUCCAGCCAAGUCCCUGUACUACACCAAAAUUUUGCACUAUUUACACUGAUAUAUUAUACUAUUUCAAAAGAAUUAAUUUCAUACAUGUCUCUAUAAGUAUAGUAAAAUAAUAAAUAUAUUUAUAUAAAGUUCAAUUUUCAUAUAUUGUUAUUAUAAAAAUUUUGAUGUUUUCAAAUAUACUCCGGUCAUUAGAAUUCAUUAGAAAAAUUUAAUCAUAGUUAGUUUUUAACACUUUUAUUUCUAUUAUAUUAUACUGUUCUGAUAUUUGGAGGGACAUAUUUGUGAUGGCAAAAUUAAAAAUAUAAAUAGUUUUCUAACGGUAACAAACUAGAAGAAUAUAUUUGAAAAUAUAGAAACUUUUGUAGAGACAAAAUAUGAAAAUUGAACUUUAUAUAAAAAUAUUUGCCAUUCAAUAUAUUUACAAGGACCUGUAUGAAAUUAAUCAUUUAAAAAUUAUUAAACUAUUUGUUGCCGUUUUCAUAUAUUUAGUUGUCUGAUUUUAUUGUCUACCGUUUUUUUCCAAAAUAAUUUCAAACAGUAAACAACGAGAAGAGAAUCAAAAUUCAAAAUUGGUGUCGCUGCCAGCAACUUGUGUUGGUUCUGACCAUAGUUAAUUAAUUCAAAUUGGACAAAACUUCGGUACAGAUAUAAUUCAAAUAAAAUUCGUAUGUUAAUUUUUAAAUUCGUUGAAAAAUACGGUUUAAAAAACGGGUUUGACAAUUAUUCGGAUACACAAUUUAUAUGAAAAUUAUACGUUCACCAACUAGAAAUUCGGAAUAAAAAAUACUGACUAUUACCAACCGUCUCUAGAGCAAGUGGCAAAGGGCUUGAUAGUUGGUACCCGAGACCCAGGUUCGAAUCCUGGUUGAUACCUAUCUCUCAAAAAAAAAAAAUUUCUGACUAUUAAACUAAGCCUUUUCUCUAUAUUUAUGCUAAAAAGAAUAAUUAUAAAUUCUUAAGAAUAUAAAAAUAGAAAGCUAUAAAAUAAAGUAUAUUAAAUAGGAAAAACUUCAAAAAAACCCUCAUGUGGUUUCGUACUUUCUCACUUUAGUACCCUGUGGUUUAAAGUGUAUCAAUUUGGAGCCUUGCGGUUUCAUUUUUAUCUUUUCGACAGCUUUUUUUGUUAAUAUUUCGUUAAAUUAUAUAAAAAAAACUUCAGAUACCCACCUAGGUUUAUUAAAUAUUCACUUUAGUACCCUUUAAUUUUAACUUUAUCACUAAUUUAAGAAAAAAAUAGUGAAAUUUAUAAUUUAAAAAGAAAAAUGAAACCACAUGGCACAAAAUUGAUACACUUUAAACCACAGAGUACUAAAGUGAAAAAGUGCAAAACCACAGGGAGAGUUUUUGAAGUUUUUCCUAUUAAAUAAAAAAAGCAAUAGUAAAAUUUAUUGCCGUCUCCAUUUUCAUUUUUUUCAUAAUCCACGUAAUCCGGAAGUUAAUAAAAUUUUUCAAUAAUUCACAAAUAAUUCGACAAUAAUUUGUAAAUAAUUCAGAAAAAAAUUUUAUCCAAAAUUUUUGUGCGUAUUUUAGCCGAAUAGGUUGGCAUACACAAAUUAUUCACGAAUAAUAAAUCUAAUCCAAAAAUUCGCGUUUUAUUCUGAUUUUUUAGAAAUAAAUCGCAUACGAAUUAUUUUAUUUAGAUUUUCAAUAAACAAAUAAUUUGCGAAUAGUUUGCGAAUUAACUAACUAUAUCCUAUGUUUGGACAAAGGAGACGUACGCCCGCUAACUUCGAAAAUUAUUUUUUAUUAAUAGCCUUAGAAAAUACUAUAAUGAUAAAAAUAGUCCUGUAAAAAAAUUAUUUACAGAAUUAAAUUAUACGGUGAAUGAAUUACUACUUUUUAAAUAUGAUAAAUUAUUAUUCACCACUCUUUUCAUAGAAUUCAAUUUUUAGUGUUUAAUAUUAUACAUCUUUUACAAUUUAACUAUAAAAAAUAUAUAAAUUAGGAUAAAAACAGUGAAUCAUUCACCGUUUUUAAAAAAUAAUAAAUAAUUCACAGCUUUUCUACCUAUUUUUAUUAAUAAAAAUUUUAAAUACCUAUUUUUAUAUUUAAAAAAUUUACAGGCUCGGUAGCCCAAAAACUUCAACUUCAGACCUUAGCCUUGGUAUGCGUAGAUCAAAUGUGCAGCCGUCUGUUUUACGUAUUUUAGUCGCAGGCAUUUUGGUUAGAUUCUUGAAAAUUCGGAGCAAAUCUACAAAAUUUAAAAGAGUUGCCCAAAUUUACAAUAGUGCAAAAUUUUAAAAAAUUUUACAGAAUCUAGCAGCUAUACAGAACCAUGGUGUAUUGACAGGAAACUCUGUUUGAGUUUUGCCACUGCAGCACAGUGCAGGAAAAUCUCUAACCCAAUGUUUAAAUAGACGCAGGUGUAAAAAGGCAAAUGCCCUCCGGAGCCUAGGCGUGAGGCGCACCGUGGAGGUGCAGCCUCAAGAAAGUAGUAGGCCGCACGCCUAAUAAAAAUAAACUACCCUUACCAAACAGUCUAAAUAGAUGUUUUACAUUAAAAAAAAAUUCAAAAUAAUCAUACAAAAACAAAAUAAUCCUCAAAAAGUAAAGAAAUCACUUGUACAAAUAUUCUCAAAUUAGAAAAAAAAAUUACAUUUCAACUUUCAGCUUAAAAGUGUUUGAUGCUUUUUCCUUACUUCUUGAUACUCCUGUUUGCUGCCACUGGGGGUGGAAGAGAGAACAACUAAUUGAUUCACAUUUUCAGCUAAGUUUAUUUUUAAAUAAAAUAAACGAACGGAUAGCAUGAUACCUAUCAAUCUCAAAAAAAAAAAAAAACGUUCAAAAAUUUUUUUUGUAUAUUUCUUAAAAUUUUAUAAUAUAUUGAAAAAACUUAAAGACCCCAAAAUUCAAAUUCUAUACCCAUUAAACGUAAAUAUCACAAGGUGCAGACGCUGAGGCGCGCAUUUUGCAAACACUGCUCUAACCUCUCCCAAAGGUUCCCCGAGAGCUCUCUCAGAUCUUUGUACCUCCACCAUGAAUCUCUUCUUUUUUUUAUUCAUUUUUCCCAGAGGAAGUACUAUUUAUAUAUCAAUUUUUAUUUGUAUAUCAACAAUUGUAUAUCUUACACUCCCACAUACUAUGAUUUGAACAAACCCCAUUAUUGAGAAAGAGUUGGUCCUUGAAAAAAGAACCAUACGUGAGGGGAGGAAAAAAAAAGAAGCAAAUACACGAAAUUAUGGCCUAGCCUCAUAAAUGAAAACAAAAAAAUCUCCAUUGCCUAGAAGAUUGAAAGAGUGGUAAUACAGGGUUUGUUUGGAUGUAAUAAAAAGAAUUACCAGAGGAUAAAGAAAAGUAUGGAAUUGACAUAGUGCACUUCAAUAAACAGCAUGUCCUCUUCAGCAGACAAAAGAAACGCAAAUAAAAUAUAACUUGAAGUUGAGGAUAACAAUGUCCUGCAGGGAAUGCUAACUUUGAGAAUAACAACAUAUGAGUUUAAAAAAAAAAAACACAUUAGGAAAAAUGUACAAAGACGCCGUGAACUAAAUUUAGCUCUUUUGUAAAUAGGCGCCCCAAAUAGGCAUAUGAACUAUUAGUUUUGGCAAUUAGACGGGCUAAACUUUAUGAAAUAGCUCAAUAAGCCCCCCAAUUCAAUCAAAGUUACUAAUUACAGAGCUGUUUUGAUUGCACAUCUUGCACAUAAUCUUAUAAGACUUCAAAAUGUAAAGAAACUUUUUUUUAAUUCCAGUUUUGAUAAUUAAGCAAAAGGAUUGAAAAGUAGUGUGAACAUACCUUCGACUUUUGUUGCUUUUCUUUUAUAUGUUAGAAUAAAAGAAAUAAAUUUAUUUGUUUUUUGAAAAUUUAAAAAAUUAGAUGCAAGAGAUACAAUCAAAACAGCUGAGCAAUUAGCAAGUAUAAUUGAGAAGAGGAGACUGUUGAACUAUUUGACAAAGUUUAGAAAGUCUACUUGCCGAAAUUGAAAGUUCAAGCACAUAUUUGCAGAAGUGCUAAAGUUCAAGGAGUCUCCAUAUAUUUUUUUUCCCAAAGAUAGGUUAUUAAAUAAGUGACCAAUAGCCUAAAAGGGCUUGUAAUGCAAUCUACGAACAUGGAGGAGUAGAAAUUUCAUUAUGUUCCUAUAGCUGCCUCAGAAAAGAGUGACAAUUGUGCCCGAACUACUAAGGUUAAUGAAAAUCAAAGUGAUCCUGAUUUCAUAAAUAUAUGUUUCUUCUAUCAUCUUUACAAGUGGAAGUAAGUUUCCCUAACAAGAUCAAAGAUACUGGCAAAGAGCCAAACCAAAUGGACAUAAGUAUUUGCCUGCCUAUUUACCACAAGCUAAAGUGAUUGGGUAAAAAAAAACAUGGAUGAAGCACCGGUGAUUAAGUUAAGCAAAUGGUAUUGUGCCGAACUGCUAAUGAAAGAAAUCACUCCCGACGUACCAUCAAGCAUUAAAUAACGUGGCCAAGAAGUGAAGCCUUAUUACUUCAAAACCUGCUCUCACAGGUACAUAUUAUAUGCUACUCCUAACUUUGAAAUGCCGUGUUGAAAUAAGCAGCAAGGCCAGAAUGAACAUGAGGAAAUUAACUAAGGGGAGUGAAGCCAAAUGUGCAUGCAGCGAUUACAGAUCUCAGAUUAGAUUUCCUCAGAAAUAAAUGGUCUUUUUGCAAACUGGUUUGCAGUUUAAAACUUGCUAUGAGAUUUUCCGAACAAGAUAAGAACUCCGAUACAAGAAGAUAACAAGUUAAUGUACAAAACCAGUAUGAGAAGCUUAAAACCACAAAACAGUUGCGACUUAGAAAUGGCGCCACGGACAGCCUAAAUAGCCAAGAAUUAUGCCGAGAGGGCGAGUAGUUUGGGGUUUUGAUCUGUUGGUUUUGACGGCACUGCUAAUCAACAGAAGUCGGCAAUCUUAACUCAACCUUAAUCAAUUAAGACUCAACCUAUCACUUUCAUCAUUCUUUUAUUCUUAAUAAACAACCAUUACAUAGAUGAUUUGGAACACAAAAGAAAACAUCUACUCCUCCUCCAUCUUCUAGUGGACUGCGGAAAUUAUAUCGUGAUAUCUUUUAUGGAAACAAAGAGAACAGUUUCCCCUCACUGCAGUAAACAUAGGAAUUGCAUGCAAGAAAUCACAAAUUCGACAAAACCAAACAAUAAUUAGCACCCAGUAACCACUCCUUUAACACUCAAUCAUCUUACACUAGCAUGGUCGAUAGAUAGCUAGACAUGGCGAUAAUCGAUGGGAGUAACAUCACAGGAAGAUCGGAGAGAUACCGAAGGGGGCGAAUGCGAUCAGAAGACGAUGCGGAACUGGGGGGCGUCGUCGCCGGCGGCGGGGAGGAUCUCCCAGCGGCAGGGCUCGAGGUCGUCGGAGACGGGGCAGUAGCCGGCCACCGUCACGCGGUCGCCCGACGCCGCCGCCGACCCGAACUCGAACACCGUGACGUCCGCCGGCCGCCGCGGCACCUCCACCGCCCCGUGCAAUCCCGGAACCUCCUCCGCCGCCGCCGGCGCUCCGUCGGGCUUCCCGCCUCGACCGCUCGCGGGGGCGUUCGGCGCCGCCGCCCCCGGCGCCGGCGGCGGAGAGGAGGGCCCGCCCUUCCACCACGACAGCAUCCCCAUGGACGCGGAUAGAGAGGGAGAGAGAGAAUGGGUUCCUCUAGAUUUUAGGGUUUUGAAUUGCAGUCCGGCUCCGAAGAGAUAUAACUCUCUCGCUUGCUUAUUGCAAGUCGGCAGGAUUUUUUUUUUUUUUCUUAUAAUAGAGCAAAUUUUAGGCCAAUUUGCAUAAAAAAUUCACAAGUUUUGAAAUUUUUUUUUAAUUUUGCAGAUUCAAGCUGAAUUUUUUACCAUUUGACGAAAAUACUUUUAUUCCUUUUCUUUCUCUCCCUUCUUUUUUCUCUCUCUCCUUUUUCUUUCUUCGCUAUGUUCAACCCCCCUGCCCCUCCUCCUUCGCCCCCGCCUCCCCCGCCUCCUUCGCCGCCGACGCCGACGACGAUGUCCUCUGCGUCGGCGUCAUCGUCGUCGAGCUCCCGCGUCCCCGCACGAUACAGGGUCGCACGCACGAUAUAGGGAUCGCUCGCGCUCGUGCUCGUUUUCGUGCUCGAAUAAAAGAAAAAAAAAAAAAGAGAGAAAGAAAAGGAAUAAGGGUAUUUUCGUUCGAUGGCAAAAAAUUCGGCCCGAAUCUGCAAAAUUGAAAAAGGUGGCCCAGUUUUGCAAAAGCUCAAAAUUUGUGAAUUUUUAAUGCAAAUUGGCCUAAAUUUAUGUAAAUACUAAUUUUUUCACUUUUCUCUCUUAUUUUUAAAAGGGUAAAUUACACCAUUAGUCCCCAACCUUUUUCCAAAUUUUCAUCUAGGUCCCUAACCUUUUUUUUGUCAUUUAAGUCCCCAAUUGCAAUAAAUUAUUGCAAUUGGGUCCUACCGUCUAUAUUUCUAUCAUCAUUGAUGGAAAUUGACACGUAGGCGCCAGCACAGUGUACAUUUGGCAACUAUGGAAUAAAAAAAUAAUCCACGUGGGACAACCCACUUUUAAAGCACCUGCAUAGUAAAGUAGAUAGAGAAAUAAAAAUUACCCACUUUCUAAGCACCUGCAUAGUAAAGUAGAAAGAGAACUAAAAAUUGGGGCUUUUGUCCAAUCUUGCAUUAAGGUUUUACUUUUUUUUUCCCAAUCCAUAAAUUGAAGCCCAUCAUAAACGACGACAACCACGACAAGGGGGACGAGUCCAAGAUCUGCUCUUGCAUAGAGUGUGGAUCUUCUUGAGCAUGAAGUAUAAUUAGAAGGAAGAAGACAAAAAAAGGGUACAAAAUGUGGGUUUUAAGAAAGAGGGGUGACCCACAACUUGAGUAUAAUAAGUUUUAUUUUUUUAUUUUUUUAUCUUUGUGAUCCCAACAGAGCUAGUGACUAAUUUUUUAUUACCCUUUCUAUACAUAUAUUUUAUUGCAAAAUAUUUUUUUUUUGUAUUCUUUUGCAUUGAGCACAACAAAAGUUGAUAAUAAUUUUUAAUUAAUUAAUUUAUUUUAUUUUAUUUUUGUAUGUAUGUUCUACAGCACAAGACAGUGAUUAUUUUAGUAUAGAGUAUUACCAUGACGGUACUUUUGUGCAAGCACCAUUAAAAAGUUAUAUUGGUGGUAGUGUUGACUACUUUGAUCUAUGUGAGUCUGAUGAAAUAUUUUUGUUAGAACUAGAUGAUAUGGGAGAGAAGUUGGGAUAUGUUGGUAACCAUGAUUUUUUUUGGAAACAAAAAAAAAAGAAUUUAGAUGAUAACUUUAUUCAUAUUAAGAGUGACAAAGAGUUACUUGGUGCAAUUGACAAGCUUUGUUGGGAGGAUUUGUUACAAAUAUAUGCUGUUAAGAAAAGGUUCGGUGAGAGCAUAAAUUCUUCCAAAGAUGUGGAUGAAGUUGGUAGUGCAGAUGAUAUUCCUACCAUGGAGGAGAUUUUAGCUGAUAUUGGAUUUAAUGACUCUGAAAAGAGUUUAGAUGCAAAUGAUGAGGAAUGGGCUCCUAGUGAUGAUGAGAACAAUGAUAAAGAAUCUGACAAAGGUUUUAGAAUUGCUAGUAAAAGGCAUAACAAGUUAACCAAAAAAACUAUUGAGAUAGAAAAUGAAUGUAAUGAAGAACUUUAACAGUGAAUAUGAAAUUUCAGAUGAUGAAGACUCACAUGAGGUCAAUGUAAAAAUUAAUAAUAGAGAUAAGACUGCAGAGAAAAGACAUAUUGAUGUUGAGAUUGAGAUAGAUGAUAAAGGGGAGCAUAAUGAGGUGUCAUCAGAUUAUGAUUCAGAAGACGACUUAAAAAGCUUAUCAAGUGACAGUGAAGAUGGAAAAAAAAGCAAAUAUUUUCAGAGUUUCAUGCAGAAUCUGACAUGAAGGAUCUAGAAUUUCAAGUGGGAAUGAGGUUCCAAUCUUUCAAUGAACUCAAAGAAGCAAUAAGACAAUACUCAAUUAAUAAUAGAUUCAAAAUUAAAUUUGCAAAGAAUGACAAAAGAAGAGUCAGGGCAGUAUGUAAGGAAGGAUGUGAUUGGUUUAUUUAUGCAACUGUCAUGCAAAGUGAGCCAACAGUACAAGUUAAGUCAUACCAACCCAAGCAUCAAUGUUCCAAGGAUUUUGUAAAUAAGCAGGUAACAUCUACUUGGUUGGCUAAACAUUACUUAGAAAGGAUCAAGUAUGACCCUUCUUGGAAACUACAUGCCUUUCAAGAUGUAAUCAAGAGUGAAUUGUGUGUGAAUGUCUCCAUAGCAAAGUGCUUCAGAGCAAAAAGAAGGGCAUUAAAAAUUAUUGAGGUUAUUGAUACUGAACAAUAUGACAAAUUAUCUGAUUAUUGUGCAGAGAUACGAAAGACUAACCCAGGUUCAAGACUGAUGCUAAAUCUAAGCAAUCUUAUCUUUCAAAGGAUGUUCAUCUGCCUAGAUGCUUGCAAAAAAGGAUUUCAAGCUGGUUGUAGGCCUAUUAUUAGUGUUGAUGGAUGCUUUUUGAAAGGAAAAUAUCAUGGACGGCUCCUUGUAGCAGUUGGCAUUGAUGCAAAUGAUUGCAUCUUUCCAAUAGCAUAUGCUAUAGUGGAAGUUGAAUCAACAGAUACAUGGUCUUGGUUCUUUCAGUUGUUGGCGGAAGAGCUUAACAUUUGGAACUCCUAUACAUGGACUUUUAUGUCAGAUAGACAAAAGGUAAUUUUAUUAUACCAUAUGCUUGUUUAUCCAAAGUAAUUACUUUCCAAAUUAAUAGAUAUUUAUUUAUGCCAAGAUUAGGAUACUCUAUUUCUAUUUAUACUUGUUUAUCCAAAGUAAUUAAUUUAUAUACUAAUAGAUAUUUGUUUUUUGACAGGGUUUGAUUCAAUCAGUGGAAACUCUUUUUCCUAAUGCAGACCACAGAUUCUGUGUAAGAUACUUGUAUAGUAAUUUUAGUACACAAUUCAAAGAAAAGUUCUUAAAAGACUCUCUUUGGAGUGCUGCUAGGAGUAGCUAUAUAGAGGAGUGGGAAAAAUACAUGACUAUUAUUGUUGAAAUCAACAAGGAGGCAUAUAAUUGGGUGAAGAAACUCUCUCCAAGAUGUUGGACAAGAUCAUACUUUAGUGAGUUUCCUAAAUGUGGUUUGCUUUUGAAUAAUUGUGUGUGUUUCAACAAAUUCAUUCUAGAUGCUAAGGGCAAAUCAAUCCUCACUUUGGUUGAGAUGAUUAGAUGUAAAUUGAUGAGAAGAAUCUGUAAGAAAAGAGAAGAAAUUAAGAAGUUGAAAGGUCCAAUAUGUCCAAAAAUUCAAAAGAAGCUUGAGAAGAUAAAAACUGAGUCUGCUACAUGUUGGCCAAUUGCUUCAGGUGGGCCUAUGUUCCAAAUAGGUGCACCUAAUGGACAAUUUGUUGUUGACAUAGAGAAGUAUACAUGUAGUUGUAGAAAGUGGCAAUUGAGUGGGAUUCCAUGCUCGCAUGCAUGCUCAACAAUAUUUCACAAUCUAGAUCAACCAGAGAAAUUUGUCCAUGAAUGCUAUAGCAUAGAGACCUACAAGCAUAUCUAUAGCGAAGUCAUCAAGCCAAUAAAUGGGCAGUUGAUGUGGCCAAAGACAAGGCACCCAAAAGUGAUGCCUCCAACAAUUCAUAAGCAACCUGGAAGGCCAAAAAAGAAAGAAAGAGAGAAGCCGAUGAAGUAAAUAAUUUAACAAAAUUAAACAGACGAGGGAUGCAGAUGACUUGUAGAAAAUGUGGACAAACAUGUCAUAACAAAAAGACUUGUACAAUUAUAGAUCAACCAGUCAAGGUGAGUAACGAUACUAAUAUGACCAUUGAUCCAAGCCAAAAAGUGCAUACUGUGAGGAAAAGAAAACUUUUUGUGAGUAAUUACAUCAAUUUAGUUUUAUUGUUUAUGUUAUACAUUAAUAUAGUUGCAUUAUUUACUUUAAACAUUAAUAUAUUUUUGUGAGAAAAAUUCUUGUUUACAUUAAUAUAGUUGUGCAAGCUGUGUUAUAUAUGCCAUGUAAAACUAAUGCGUUAUAUUUAUUCAUUUAGGUAAGGAGGCGACCUACUCCAAAGACGGUAUCCAAAGAAGAACUAGCUCAACCUGCUCAUGAGGCACAAUCUGCACAACAACCAUCAAUUUGCACACCAUCAAUUAGUAGAUGGAUGCCUAAUAUAAAUUUAGUCUAAUUAAAGAUAUCCUACUAAUGAAUUUCAAUUUUUGAUGUAAAUACAUCACUAAACUUAUUCUUUGAUACAGGAAAAAAGAGCUUUUGACUCUCAAACUCCCACCACAUUACCAGACUCACAGGCCACUAGUAGCAGAUCCAUUCAGGUCUAACUAUAGUAUAAAUUUCAUUAUUUUUCUUAAAUUAUACUAUUUUACUUAUAACAUACUUAAAGUACUCAUUACUCAAAUAUGAAAUCCUAACCUAGGUCCAAACUAGUAGAGGACAAGCAAUAUUUCAGACAUAUAGGCAUCAACCAGGGAGGAGCCAAGUUGGGAGCCAAGUUGCGAGAGGGCCAAUAAGUGUGCAACCUGGAAGAGGACAAAUAAAUGUGCAAAUUGGGAGAGUACAAGCAUGGCGUCAAGCAGGGAGAGGACAAGCAUGGUUUCCAACUGGGAGAGGUCGUGCUUGCUUGAAUCCGAUAGUUAAUUCUCAACCAAGUAAUCAACAAAGAAGAGUGCAGGUUGUUAGAUGGAUGCCCACCAAAACAAAACACUUCAUAUCCUACUACCCAACCAGAGAACAAGACAAGUGAAGGCAAUUAGAAGUUUAUAUUCUCAACAAACAUGAUCCUUUUGGUUCAUUUUGUAUUGUGAAUUUUAUGCCAUUUUGGUGAUAUAAGUAUUAUUUCUUUUAAGAUCCAACUGAUAGUUUGUGACAAGUAAACAAUAUGGUUAAUAUAAGAGGCAAUGGUGAUACUUCCAUUAUCUUUAAUGACUUGGUUGAACAAUAUAAACAUUGUUAAUUUUGGCUUUUAAAUGUUGUUUCCUUUGUUAUUUUGAUACAUGUUGCGAUGAUGUUAUGGUUGGUGUACAGUUUUAAUGCUUUCUUGCAUGGUACUAUAUUGUUCAAUUGUUUGAGAUAAUAAAUUACAGUCUUUCACUUUAUAUGGAUUUUGAGUACGUCAUUAUCUGAGGAUGUGCUAUUCAAAUUAUAAGCAUAACUUCGCAGCAGCUUUAUCAGAAUUGAAGAUUGGAUUUCAAUAAAAAUACAAAUAUCCAGUUUACCUUUUUAAUAUAACAAAAUUUUCGUUUGAAAGAGAAAUAUACAACUACUGGUUAUAAUAGUUUCAUACAAAAUGCAAAAGACCAUAUACAUCAGACAUCAAGAUUAUAACAUAAUUUUAAAUAUUACAAAAUCAGAAAGAACAAUUUAAUACUAAACAAAGAACAUUUACAACAAAAGUCGCUCUCUAUUUGCUGACUAAGAUAGAGAUUUGCUAGGAAUUUGUAGUUAGUUGAAACUUCUUCUUCAUAUCAAAUUCCAGCCAACAAACACAAUCCAAGAAAUAAUUAGUAUCCAUAUUAGCCGCUUAAUCUUUUUCUUUAGAGUGUUCAGCUCGUCCUCCAUUGCCGAUCUCUUCCGCAAAAAACCAAUAAUAACUUGGCGAGAGCGAUAAGUCACAGGGGGAUCAUACCAAGAAAAAUAUCCAUACUCACUAGGUCACUGUAGUGAUCUCUGUAAACAAAAAAACGGGAGGUUAGGAUCCAAAUGAAAAAUCGUGAAAAAGGUUGGGGGCCCAUUUGAAAAAGAAGGAAAAGAUUAGGGACCUAAGUGAAAAAUCGAGAAAAGGUUAAGGAUCGGUGUUGUAACAGAGAGGAAAACACAAAUAAGAAAUUUUCACAAACUUAAAACCUCAAAAAUAAGGGAAGAAAAUGAACAUCGAAAGAGAUUACCUCAUAGUGUCUGCAGCAAAAAAAUAUCCUACUAGAAUUAGCUUCAGUCCAUGAUGUCUUUAAAGUAGCUGCGACGCCACAGUAACAGAUAGGAACAUUAUGGCUUUCGGUGGACAUUUCAGACAUUUCUCAAGGUAGUGUGAUGCUCAAGAGAAGAAAAAAUGAAUUAUUACAGUGAAAACCCUUUUCUCUUAGCUAGGUUUUUUUCUAUAUAUAAAGUUAAAAAGGAAGAAAGGGUUUCGGACAUUUUAUAUUUAUAUAUUUAUCCUAUUUAUAUUCCCUACAAAUAAUUGGUCAAAGAUCAUUAUGACCUAAGGCGGGAAAUUUUCCCUCCAAAUAGACACCAACGUGGCGCCUACGUAUCAGUUUCCGUCGAGUGUGACGGAAAUAUAGACGGUAGGACCUAAUUGAAAUAAUUUAUUGCAAUUGGGGACUCAAUUGACGAAAAAAAAAGUUAGGGACCUAGUUGAAAAUUUGGAAAAAGGUUGGGGACUAUGGUGUAAUUUACCCUUUUUAAAAUAAAACUUCAGAAAUAUCUCAUUUGCCCUUAUUUUUUUUUUUUUUCAAUAUGCUCCUCAUAUGUUCCUCCGUUAUUCCAAAAUACCCCUACAGUUAUCACCCGUUAAGUUAACUUGGGUUAAACGUGAGUUAAAUAUCUACCACAGUUUAAAAAAAUUAAAAUGUCAAUUUUACCCUUAACUUAAGGACAAAUAAGAAAUAUUGGUGACGAUAGACGGGUAUAUUUGAAAAGAUCAAAAGUCAAAAUACUUUUCGUACCCCUGAUUUAAGGGCAAAUAAGAAAAAUCGGUGAUUAUGGAAGAGUAUAUUUGAAAGGGCAAAAUAGUAAUUUUAUACAGAUAAUAGAGUUCAUUAACAGAUUUUAAUUCUAGGGGUAUAUUUGAAAUAGGUUGGAACGUAAAAAGGGUAUUUUUCAAUAUUAGCCUUCUAAGAGGGGUAAAUCAGAACGUCGGAAACUUUUCAGGAGUAUAUAAGCAAUUGCCCCAAUAAUAAAAAUGCAUUUCCUCUUCUAUAAGAAAAUAUACUUUUUAAAUAUAUUUCUUUUAUUUUGAAGAGUAUUUUUGAUAUAAAUUAAAAGAAAUAGAUAGAACAGUGAUAAAAACUUGACGGGAGAAAAAUUAAAUACAACAAUUUAAAAUAUUGAAGGAGUAAAAUAUAGAUUUUUUUUUAAAUUUAGAAAGGAAAAAUAAAUAGCGUUCCGAAAAUAUUAACAGGGUCGCUAGUUCAAAUAAUAGGUCAGUCAUUAAUAUUUAGUAUAUAAAAAAAUAUUCAUUAAAAACAGCCAAAAAAGCAGAAUUUAAUUGAAAAUGCGUCAUUCUUAAAAUAUACUUAAUUAUAAAAUACUUAUUUCUCAAUGAAAUUAAAUAGAUAUAAAUUUUCAAGUUUUACUUUUUAUAGAGCUAAUAUGUGCUAAUAGAAUAAAAAAUCAGCUAAAUUUGAGUUUAAGUUGUUGGAUUUUAAUAUAACGUGACUAAACAAAUUCUCCCUUAUUUGAUUAAAACCAGAUAAUGGUUGAACCACAAUUCAAAGUGGUUUUUAACUUAUCCGGUUCAAAGGAUUGAACCGAACUGCUUUAUAGACUGUGUCAUAGUUUAAUAGAUCGAACUGGCGAGUUCGAUCUGCUUUUAAAAUUAUUGGAAAUUGUCGCACUUGCCCUUAUUUAGUUUUCAAAAAUUAUUUUAAAAAUUAAUUUUCUGGCUAAAGUUUUUUGAUCUAUUUGGUGUGGAAAAAAAUCAAAAUUUUGUGAAAAAAUAAUAUUUUUAUUUUUUUUUUUUUUUAUCUGAAAAGUAGUUUUCCAUGAUUUUUCUAGAAACCAAAAAGGGACAUUUUAGUUGGAUAAAAGUGUAAGUACAAUAUAAUUAGAGAAAUACAGUAUAGUUGAAAAUACAUAUAGAUGAAAAUGCAGUAAUUAUUAUUGUAUGCAUCUUAAUUAUUUGGUUGAGUAUAGGAGAAAACGCUAAACUUAUAAAUAAUUUUUUUGGUUGAAUUAAGUUGAGAGAUGUGUUUACAAAUUUCAUCAUAUCACAUAUGAGAUAGUGGAUACACUACAAAAAAGUUAAUUUGUGGUGACAGUUAAUUUAGUAACACUUAAUACAAGCGCUUGCAAAAAUAUAUUUUAGCAGCGGUUUUAGCUAAUUAUUAUUAUAACAGUUUUAAACCAUCGGUAUAUAGUAAUAUAAUAAUUUUUUAUGAUAAUUUUUUUUAGUAACACUUAACAUAAGUGUUGGCAAAACUAUAUUUUACUAGCGGUUUAAAUUAAUUAUUAUAAUGGUUUAAAAUCGUCGAUACAUGAUUUAAUUAAAUUAAAUUAAGUUUUCAUGAGACUUAAUUUAUCUAAUUAAAGUAUAUUAAACAUUUAUAUAACUUAGCAAAUCUAAGCUAUAACCUAUUCUAUUUUAGGAUAUAGACUUGUACAAACUUUUAUAUUUUUUUUAUCUUUUUAUUUUUAUUUUAUUUAAUAAUUAAUAAUAUUAUAAUAAUAUUUAAAAUAUUAAUAGUUUUAAUUAUUUUUUUUUUUUGAGGAAAAGUUUUAAUUAUAUUAAUAGUUUUAACUAUAUAAAAGAUAAUUUUUUUACAAAUUAUGGUGGAAAAAAAAAACCUAAUGCCACCCUAAAACCACCUAGUUAGAGCUGGCCCAAAUCUAGCCCUAAAAUCGUACCCUUGUUUUAAUAAAUAAUAAUAAUAAUUAUUUUAAUUAUAGUAAUAUAAAAUAAAGUUAAAAGAUCGAAAAAAAUCUCCAAAACCCUCCUCUGUAAUUAAAAAAAGGUAAAUUCCUCAACCCCGAGCUCCACGCGCCAAUGCUCCGAUGCUCCGCGCAAGCCCCGCGCUCCGCGCAAGCCCCGCGCUCCAACGGUCCGACGCCGAUCUCUCUCUCUCUCUCUCUCUCUCUCUCUCUCUCUCUCUCUCUCUCGCACAAUUUGAGGCUCCUCCAAAGAGGAGCGCGGCGAAACCCUAGAUUGUGAGUGUGAUUAUUUUCCUCGUGUAAUAUGCCCCUUUUUUUAAUAUUUUAAUUCAAUUUCAUUACAUAUUUUCUAUUCUUUCUUUGAGUCUUUUUAAUCCAUUGUUUGUUUGCUUUUUUAUUUUUUAUGGUAUUUUUAAUCCAUUAGAAUAGAGAGAGAUCGAAAAUUUGCUGCUUGGGUUGGAGGAUCUGAUUCUACAGUAGUGGAGGUGAGCUUUUUUUCGUGAUCGGGAGUGAUUGGAUUUGUCUAUAUGUGUAAUGACCCGGACGAUCCGCAACCGUCGAUGACGAGGAAUUCGGUGAGACGAGCACGGCGGGGAGGAUGAUGGGUCUGAGAGGCGAGCCUUUGGCGCUGUUGCUAGUAAGAAGAGAAAUUGGGAGAAAAGAAUGGGAAUUAGGGAUAUGAGAGAGAUAGAGAGGGAUAAGAAAUUGGGAUAGAGAUUAGAGAUAGAGAAAGAGGAGAAUUGGGGAAAGAAGGGUUUAGAGGGGAAGAAGGAUUGGGGAAGAAGAUAAGCAAUAUUUCAUUUCAUUGAUAUCCUGUUGCAAUUACAUUCUUGUGCAUAUACUCUCUACAACUAAGUACUGAAGUUAAAGUAGACUAUCCUAGGAGGGCUUAACAGCAAAAUUGUAAAAAUUAGUACUGCCGGCCGUCCGGGUUGAGUUCAGGCCCAAGAGUGUAACUGUGGUCGGGCUUGGGUUAUCGGGUCGCACCUCUUGUCCGCUCCGCCAAAGGCGGAUAGUGGGUCCGCUUUUCACAUCCGCUCCGAGGAUUCGGCCAUCCGACCCGCUAAGAUUCAAGUACGCCCUUUUUGCCCCAAAUCCCCUGGCUCUGUCGGAUCUCCUUCUCCCUCGGCGUUCCUCCCGUCUUCCCUCUGUACUCCGACGAUGCCCUAAUCCUCGUCGCGCGCCGGAGUUUCGCCUGAACCAGAACCUGGAGAAGAGCCGCAUCACAGGCAUCACGAAGCACCUGGAGAAGAACCAGAACCCUAGCUGGCACCAGGUGUUCGCCUUCUCCAAGGACCGCAUCCAGGCGAACUUCGUGGGCCGCAUCGUCUUCGACCUCACCGAGGCGCCCCUCGCCCCGCAGUGGUACAAGCUCGAGGACAAGAAGGGCGACAAGCUCUCCUCCGGCGGCGGCGGCGGCACCCAACCCGACGAGGCCUUCCCCGACGCCUGGCACUCCGUCUUCCUCGACGCCCUUGCCGUCGGUUCACCCCGCCGAGCUCGCUCCCUCACCAACCUGCUGCUGCCACUUAUUUCAUCCCUACCUCGUAAAGUUGCUACCUUUACUACUCCUCCUUUAUUCUUCAGGUUGUUACAAUAUGCUAUUUAGUUUUUGAUUUCGCAAAUUGGAGCAGUCCGAGCUUUUUUCUGUGUUCCGCUUGCAUUUAGAUUCGAUCAUUUUUGCUGCUUAUUUUACUUAAAUCUUUGCUGUUGAAAACAAUAAUAACUUUACUUUAACAGAAAUCCGCCGCAUCAAUACCAAAUCUUUUUUAUGUGGCUAACGAGCAAAAUUUUAAUUAAAAUAAGCCAUCAACAUUAUAUAUCUAAACUGAAAAGCAGGAACAGCUACUAGAUUCCAAAAAUUAAGAAGAAAAAAGAAAUACGACAAUAGCUGGAAACGAAUGUUGCAAUUAUCCCAUAAUCUAUAUGGUUAUUAGUUUAGUGCACAAGUAGAUUUGGGCGACUUGGUGUUUGUUUUGUAUUUUGGAGACAGUGUUGAAAGUUUUUUUUUUUUUUUUUUUUUUUUUUUUUUUUUUUUUUUGUGGGGUUAACUUGUUAAGAGAUAUAAACACAAGAAAGAAAUAAUAAUGGGGUGAAUAUUGAGUUGGGAUUUUAAGAUGUUGUUGAUGUUAUCGUAUAUUUUGUGCAUAGCAAAUGGUCAGGUGUAUUAUGCUGUGGGUGGCGCUAAUUAGUUUUUAGCUUAUGUGGGUUGAGAUAGUUAACAAAAUUUUUAAUAAAUUUAUAUCCGAUAUGGAAGGAAUUUGUAGGGAAUUUCUUGCAUUUUAGCCUUAUGAAGUUAUGAUAAUAUCCAGGUGGUUUUAGGUUUCAUCUUUCUACCUGAAUAUUAACAGUUGAUUAUUGGAGUUGUAUUUUUUGUAUAACUCUAUAUAAACUGUGUUUUCAAAUUAGGCUUUAAAUUUUACUUUAAUUGUUGCUUCACUUGGUUUUGGGGGUAGUGAUUUUCUCUAUUUCUUUUGUUUAUUAGGCUUCUAAUUGCUUGGAUUUGGUGGUACUCUCCUCGUCCCCAGCUCAGAGGGAGAGAUUGGUUGUGUCUUGCUUGGGUUGGGGGUUUCGAUUGCCCAGUCAAUUCGCUUUGUGUGAUCGGGGGCUAUCGGAUUUGCUUUUUUCGUUGGUGUUCGGGCACGGCGCGCUAGAGUUUAGAAGUGAGGCUUCGAGGUGAGCUUAUCUCGCUUCUCGUUUACUACUCUCGAAACCCUAGGUUUAAUUCUUUGUUUUUUUAAGUAUAAAUCCCUUGUUGCUUCAAUUGUAUCUGGUUUUUUAAGUAUAAGAUUGAAGGUGACGAGGAUUGGAGGAAUAGUUAUGCAGUCGAGUUUUUACAUAAGGAGUUGCGGCACUUUAUAGCUUGGUUGAUUAUUUACUUUUACUCAUGAUUUGUUGAUAUUAUGUCUCGAGUGAUGAAUGGAAUAUCAAUUUUUGCCACAUUGCUGCAUUCUUUAUGAAAAGCUGUAAUCAUAUCAAGUUUCUUCAUGCUUUGGUGAGAUGCUAUAUAGUACAUUGAAUAGCUAGUAAGUUCUCCAACUUCUCUGACAUUAUUUUGUUAAUUUUGCAGCUUAUUCACUUACUGAAGCUUUUUUGAGCAAUCAGAUGGCUCCUCCAUCGAAAGGUGUGUUGCUUCGUUGAGAUUAUGUUACUUUAUGAGGAUCGUUCAUAUUGAUAUAUUUUCGGUGCUUAAAAUUAAAAUGGUUAAAAGCACCGAAAAAGGGUUACACAAGUCUAGAGAAAUUCAACUGCUAGUUUUGGAUCGUGAAAAUGAAGUAGACCAGUAGAUGAAUUAUGAAUAAGCUUCUCCUAUGGUCAUAUGAAGGCGAAGACUGUUGCCAGCUUUGAGCUGCUCGCCUUCUCGGUCAAUCCCCUUUGUUCAUGACUUUGGAUUUCUUGUCGUGUUGAAAAUUCGGCUAUUCAUUUCAUAAUCCCUACUUAAAUUCCUGUAGCAUUUCCCUUGAAAGGAUUGAGUGGGUGGUUGCUUGAAUAGUAUGAUCUAACGGGUCGAAAUGGUCAAAGGGGUAGAUUUAACGGUAGAAAACUUGAUAGCACCAAGCGUUUGGUAUUAUCGAUAGUAUAGCAGCCGGACUCAUAUAUAUUUGUGUGUGUGUGUGUGUGUGUGUGUGUGUGUGUGUGUGUGUGUGUAUAAGGUGUAAAAUAGUAUCCUUACAUCUAAAUUAGAGUUAAAUAUUUAACCCAUAGUUAACCAUAAUUUUGUAACAGAUUCUUAGGGUAGAAAUAUUUUUGUAAACGAUAAACUUUUUAAAGAAAUAAAUAUAAGAAAAUUGGUAGAAAUAAAUUUAGACACAACUUUUAUUUAUUUAUUUUUUAUUUUUGCAGAAAGUUGUAUGCAAUUAUCCCUAAAUUUUAUGUGUUAUUGUAUACAAUUGUCCCUCAAUUUAUGUGUUAUAACAAUGACCGAGAAGAGUUUUUGCGCGGAACUGAGCGCCUCACUCGUUGCCAUUGCACAGCAUAGUAAUAACCCUCGACUCUGAGAGAAGGAAAAGAGGAAGGUAAAGAGGUUGGGGAUGGCACUGCGUGGGCCGCUGGGAUGGUCGGAGGGGGAGCUGAUGCGGUCAGAUGCUAAGCCUUGCUCCAGGCUCAUGCGCCAGACUGCUGCCAUAUUCAGUGUCGGCGGUGGCCUCGCCUUCUGGGUCCUUUGUCGCCUCCACUACGGUCCCUCUCUUCUCUUUUUUCUCCUUUUUAAUGCUUGCUCCGCUCAAUUCUCUCUUGCUUUUCCUUUUUCUUAUCUUUACUUUUGUAGUUUCUCAUCACAUUAAGAUUUAAGUUAUGCAGAAAUAUUUAUUUUAUCUUUUUUGUCCUAUUUUCAACUGGCAUUGUCAACUGAUAUGCAAGAUUAUUGACACCUACGCAUGCUUGAUCAAGGAGAACUCCUUUUCUGCUAGCAAUUUGAAUAAAGGGUAUAUAGUUGAGGCUUUACAAAGUUGAAGGUUUCUUUUUAGUGCAGAAAAUGGUAAAUUUCCAUUGAAACGAGUCACAAAAUUGUUGAUGAGAUAAAUGCCGAUGUGAAGAGAUCGAUUGGCUGUGUUUUAGUUGGAUCAAUAGUUUUUUUGUGAACUUCUUCAUUGAGUAUAGACUUCUGAUUUCCGUCGCUUUUGUUGUGACAUCAAAAGAAUGCGUGUUAUAUUUAUGAACUCCUAGUCUUUUUGCUUAUUUUCUAGUUACAUGUUUGUGAUUAGAAUUUAUGGUUUGAGAAGGGACUAUGAAGGAGAUUUUGAACCCAAAUCUCAUGUGAACAUAAUUGAAUCAAAAGAAGCCUGCUUCUUUUUUUGUAUUUGUCCACAAUGUGGGCAAACCUUCACGGAACUUCUUUUGAUAUCUGGAAAAAAAGAAAACUAUUGAAUCAUUUAUUUUACCUAUGUGCGAAAUUAAUUGUACUUCAUCUCGCAGAAAACUUAAACUCAUAAUGAUGCUACUUGUGGCUAUAAAAUGAGCUUAUAUAACUUCUUUCCCUAUAACAGGCUAAAAGUUUGGUGCUUUAUUUGCAUCAAGGUUUUAAGUGCCCGUCGGCACGGGCCGUAUCCACUGUGUUGUACCGUGCCAACAAGAUACCGGCACGAUACAGACCUCGUGCCGAUGACACAGCUCAAAACCUUCUAUUCUUUAAAUUAGUAAGAAAUUUCCUCAAUAAAGUUCAAAAGAUGUGAUAAAAAGACAUAAUAAAUAGUUAGAAUAUUUUGUUGCUAAAGAAAAUAAAUAUUUCAUCCUAUUAUGUGUCGGCACACAAGAAUUUUUUUGACUGGCAUGUUCGGCACGGCUUAGCACACACCAUGCCGUACCGUGCUGACAAGUUUCUGGCACAAUCCCGUGUCACAACAUUUAAAUCCUUGAUUUGCAUAUUUCAAUAUGUGAAUUGAAAUUGCGUAAUAUAUGUCGUGGAAUGUUACGUGUUAAAGCAAACUUAUGAGGCAGAGAAUAUUCUCAAUCUUGUUUAAAUGCCUAAGUUGAUUAGCUAUGUUUCAUCAGCUAUACUCUUCUCUUCAUACACAAUUUAUCGAAAGUAUGUUAAAGCAUUUGGUACUUUAUGUAAUGAUUCAUAUUUUGUUAGAUUUAGGACUUAAGUGAAAUACAACACGUGAAUAUUGGUACCGAUGUUAUAUUAAGAACUAAUUGUUAAAGUGUCUAUUAUUAGCAUACCAAUGAUAAAUAACUGUGUACUUAGUAUCUAUUCUUACUCAACAGAAAAUUCAAAUAUUGAACCUUAAUGCUUCUACUUUAUGGUUUGUCUACAGGUCCAAGAAUAACUGUUCCGAGAAGUCUGAGGUGGGCUUCCUGCGGUGCAAUAUCAGUGAGCUCCUCAUCGGCUCUUCUGGUCCGACUUUUCAGUCCUGAGUGCGAACCACAGAAUAUAGCUGCUUAUGAUAAAUCAAAUAAAUAGCAUGCUUUACUCUCCUAGUAAUUUUCAUCUUACUCUGAUUAGAAUAACUUGGUUAAAUGUAUGUUUAUGCUGUCAUGCUGUCAUGGCUGUACAAGUUUCUUAGUUGUUGAUAAAAUCUUCUUAUGUUUAUUUCUAUUUGAAAUGAAUACAAAAGAAGAGGAUUUUGAUGUUCACUUUUGAAUGAUCCUGUAGCUACAUCAUUCCUUCAAAUGAAUUGGAGUUUUCUGCUGUCUUAGUUUUUUUUAUAGUGACAAUUUAACUAAUACAUUAUAUGUGCCAAAAAAAAAAUCUAAUAGCUACUGUUUGUAAUUGUCAAAGCAUUCUUCUUUAUUCUCAAGCACAAUGAAAGGAAAUUUAGUUGCUAUAAACUCAUGAUCUAUUGUGUUACUUAAAUCCUUGAACUGUGGCAGAGAGGUACCAGCUUGAGAGCAAAUGAGACUUGUAUUUAAGGUUGUGUUCUUAGUCAUUCUCUCAUGGUAUACUUGUGGUGGGUCACUUUUGCAAAGUUAAAGGGGACUUUCUUCUUCUUGCACUCUAUUUUCCUCUGGAAUUGUGAUCUCCAUAUAUAUAUAUAUAUAUAUACACAUGACAUGGAGGCUCCUCUAUUUUCCUCUGAACAAAUUGUGUUCUCCAUAUAUACAUAACAAGGACGCUCCUUAAAAUUUUGAGUGUAAUUUUUAUUACAUCACACUUGUGAGGUUAACAUAUGAACCACAUGUGUUAGGCUCUCGAUCUAUGCAAACUUAUGUUUCAACCUCAUAUUUUGGUUUGUCCUGUGCUAGAGUCAUGCAUAUGCACUACUACUACUAUAGCCAGUUUGUGAAGAUACAUAAUUUUAAUAUUAGAAAAUGGAUUUUCUAUAUAUCUUUUUCUAUAAAUCGUUUUGAAAUUGGGUGAUAUACGUGCCUUAGAAUCAAUGGGCCUCUUUUGGCAUUCCAAGCCCAUCAUAGAACUGUCCACUCAUCAUGGUAGGCCUAAUGUGAGCCUUACUUGGUUAAUACUGGCCCGACCUAUUAGCACAGGUCCACUUUGCAUUUAUAUAUAUGAUCUUCAAUUAUCUAUUCGGCGGCCACAUUUUAUUGAAGUUAACUCGCGAGUUUAUUAGGGCAUUUUCUAGGGCUCUUUCCUCAUCUAUAUUCAUCAUCUAUCGCCUUCUUUGCACGCCUUUCGAUUGCUUGAGAAAAUGCCCAAAAGAGUAGUGGCUCAUAGUCAUUGUAUACUAUCCUGGUACUACAAGUGAUCUGCAAACAAAUUGUCCGUUGUUGUAAAAUUUAAUAAAUAGUUGCAUUAUUCUUCUUGGUACGCAUCGCCUCAUGUAGUCAUGUUGUGUGUUCAACAACCCCUAUGCUUUUCCCCUUUCGAGGCUCAGAGAUUGAUGCAGGGGGAAAGAGAUUCUGCAUAAACUGCGGUAAUAAUGUAGCUAGACCCUGCUAGCAAGCUUUAUUAAUUUGUUCUGAACUGACAAGUUGUGCCAUAUGUACGUGAUCAUCAACAAAUGUUUGUCUCCAAACAGAAGAGAUAGGAUAAUAAUCAAGUGCUCCUACUGGUUGUCAUUCUUUUCCUGAAUAGGGUUUGCCUUCUUUUAGUGUUUUCGAGUCUUGGAAGGACCUACGAGCUAGAAGAUUAAUUUACUACAAGAAUUCCUCUCUGAGCACAGUGAGUUCCAACUGCUAUGAAGAAAGAAGGCUUGAUGAUUUUCGACAUAAACUUGGCUGGUAAAAUCACUCACUAUUCCCUUGUUUUCUCUUUUGAGUAGCAUGGCCGGUUUAUUUGAAAUCAGCAAAAGCAUCCAAGGGAGACUUACUUGAAAAGGUUUGGAUCAAUGUAUAAUUAUUUCAUUAUUUCAGUUUCUUCAAAGUGAAGAUGAUGAUACUACCCCAUUUUUAUGUUUAAAACAUAUUGUUCUAUGUGUAGGAACAAUUUGCCAUUGGUGCCAAUGACGUAGUACGCAUUCUAGAAAGAACAUGCUUCAAGGCAGCGCAAGGACUAAUUCUGAAUAGGUGCCUACCACCAUUGCUCUUCGUAGAGUUCCUUUGAUUCCACUGCAGGUGAAUUUGAUGCUCAUCUUGCGCCUUUUCUUUUUUUGAAGCUCCGUCCGCUCUUCACCCAAUUCUGUCUUUCAUCAUUUUUUGCUGUUAGCCCUCUCAAAGUGGCUGCAGUUUAGCAGCAAGAAUUCUACACUGUUUGACCUUCAAUUUUCUGCUGUUAAACUUUUCAAAGUUGCUAUAGUUAGGUCAUCUUCAAUGCGUACAUGUGUAUGAAAUAUGCUGUUAUACAUGCCUUACAUUAAGGCUUCAUUUGGGAUUGCGGGGAGAUUGUGUUACCUGCGGUGAAAAACUACGAUAGAAAAAAUACUUUGUAUGUAUCCGUACAUAAUAUUACAUUCCAUGUAUCGCAAUGAGCCAGUUAUAAUAUAUUUUUUGCGAUUCCAUUGAAAAAUGCUGAAGCAUAUUCCUAUAUAUAUAUAUAUAUAUAUAUAUAUAUUUUUUUUUUUUUUUUUUCUUCCCAACUCCAUUUUAUUUGUUGCGCUAGAUAGUCCUUAAUAUCGAAUGGGCCCUAAGAUUGCUUUUUUUCAAAUCCUAUGCCUUUCCCUACAACUUUUUUAUCCAGUUUCAUUGGGCCUAGAUGAUUUAUCUCUUUAGCUUAAGUAUACACUUCGUUUAGCAGAAUAUGUAGAAUGCUACUGCUAUUAGGAUGAUUACUGGGAAACACAGAAGCAUAUCUCUAUAUAUAUUUUUUUCAACUCCAGUUUAUUUGUUUGCAUUCAGUAGGCCUUUAAUACCAAAUAGCCCCUAAGAUUGCUUUGAUAGUGCUUCUUUCAAAUCUUAUGCCUUCCAAUUCCCUACAACCUUUUUACCCAGUUUCAUUGGGCUUAGGUAAUUUAUCUCUUUAGCUUAAGUUGACACUUCAUUUAGCAGAUAUCUGUAGAAUGCUAGUGCUAUUAGGAGGAGCUAAUGCUAUAAGGAUGCUUGGACAUGGCACUACGUAAUGAUUAUGAAUGCUGAAGAAGAUGUGUUUCUGUAAGUCACUCAGAAACUUACAGAAGGCCCAGAACUUUUGGAACAUGUGAAGUAGUGAGCAUCUAGAAACUUCUUUUAAU
rnacentral:lncRNA from 1 species